AAGAAUCUUGAACAGCUAUAUCUCUCAGGAAACAAUCUAAUGGGCGUACUCCCUCCUUGUUUUGGAAAUCUAUCAUUUCUACAAGUCUUGGAUGUAUCCUACAACCAAUUGGAGGGGAAUAUUGCCUCUGGUCACCUUUCCCAUCUUACGCAGCUCAAAUCCCUCGAAGUUUCAAAUAACAACUUUCAAGUCCCAAUAUCAUUUGGUUCAUUUAUGAACCUCUCCAACCUCAAGUUCAUUGCAUGCGAUAACAAUGAGCUAAUAGCUGCACCCAGUUUUCAGCCUUCAGCUCCCAAGUUCCAGCUUCUUUACUUUAGUGCUUCAAACUGUACUUCAAAACCACUCGAGGCUGGAUUUCCAAACUUCCUCCAGAGCCAACAUGAUUUGGUGUUUGUUGAUCUAUCCCACAACAAAUUCGUUGGACAACCUUUCCCAUCUUGGUUGUUUGAGAAUAAUACAAAGUUAAAUCAACUAUAUUUGAGAGACACCUCAUUUAGAGGUCCUUUGCAGCUGCCACAACACCCAACACCCAACCUUCAGACAGUAGAUAUGUCUGGCAACAACAUACAUGGUCAAGUUGCAAGAAACAUAUGUUCGAUUUUUCCACGUUUGAAGAACUUCAUGAUGGCUAACAACAGCCUCACAGGUUGUAUUCCUCCUUGUUUUGGGAAUAUGAGCUCUCUCGAAUACUUGGAUCUUUCCAACAAUCACAUGUCUUGUGAACUGCUUGAGCAUAAUUUUCCAACAGUAGGCUCCUCGUUGUGGUUUUUGAAGCUGUCCAACAACAGCUUCAAUGGGCGAUUACCACCAUCUUUGUUCAACAUGACUUACCUACUACCUCCUUCUAGAUGGAAACAAAUUUGUAGGAGAAGUACCAGGUACUUUUUCUCUUGAAUCAUCACUUUUGUGGUUGGAUAUCAGUAACAAUCUUUUGUCAGGCAUGCUUCCAAGGGGAAUAGGGAACUCUUCAAAAAACCAACUUGAUGGAAUUGAUUUGUCCAGAAAUCAUUUUGAAGGUACCAUUCCAAUAGAAUAUUUCAAUUCUUCUGGGCUUGAAUUUUUAGAUCUUUCUGAAAACAAUCUGUCUGGGUCAUUACCGUUGGGCUUCCAUGCAUUAGAUUUAUGCUAUGUCCACCUAUACGGAAAUAGAUUGAGCGGUCCACUGCCAUAUGAUUUUUAUAAUCUCUCUUCGUUGGUGACAUUAGAUCUCGGCGAUAACAACUUAACUGGGCCCAUUCCAAAUUGGAUUGAUAGCCUUUCGGAAUUGAGCAUUUUUGUUCUCAAAUCUAAUCAAUUCAAUGGGAAACUUCCUCAUCAGUUAUGCUUGUUAAGGAAAUUAAGCAUAUUGGAUCUUUCAGAAAAUAAUUUUUCUGGUCUGUUACCCUCAUGUUUGAGCAAUUUAAAUUUUACGGCAUCAGAUGAAAAAACUUUGGAUCCUCGUACGGGAUAGGAUUCUGAAAGCGGAUUUUUAAAAUUUGCAUCCAUAGGGGGAAGAGGAUUUUCUCUUCAUCACAAUAUUUUGUGGGCAGCGAUCAGUGUAAAAAUAUCUAUAGAGCUUACAGCAAAGAAACGUUUCUACACUUACGAAGGCGAUAUCCUUCGUUACAUGUCUGUUAUGGAUCUUUCUUGUAACAGAUUCACUGGAGAAAUCCCGACAAAAUGGGGAAACUUAAGUGGGAUAUAUUCUCUAAAUCUGUCACAAAAUAAUCUCACUGGAUUGAUCCCUUCAUCUUCUCAAUCUGAAGCAGAUAGAGAGCUUGGAUCUUUCUCACAACAAAACUUGAAUGGGAGAAUUCCUGCACAACUCGUUGAACUGACCUUUCUAGAAGUUUUCAACGUGUCGUACAAUAAUUUGUCAGGAAGAACACCGGAGAUGAAAAAUCAAUUUGUACCUUUGAUGAGAGCAGUUAUAAAGGGAAUCCUCUUCUUUGUGGACCUCCAUUGCAAAACAGUUGCGACAAAACAGAAUCACCAUCAGCGAGAGUGCCUAACGAUUUCAAUGGAGAUGAUGGCUUCAUAGACAUGGACAGUUUCUAUGCCAGCUUUGGUGUGUUUACAUAACUGUGGUGUUGACAAUUGCAGCAGUACUGUGCAUAAAUCCGCAUUGGCGACGCAGGUGGUUUUACUUCAUUGAAGAAUGCAUUGACACUUGCUACUGCUUUUGGCUAUAAACUUUCGCAAGUUGUCCAGAUUCAGAAGGUGAUUGGUCUUAUCAUGAGCGUGUGGGCUGCUUUCUGAAUUUUUUGUAAUCCUCUGUGGAGAAGAAGUUGCAUUCCAAAUCAAUGGUUGCUCACUACAUGUUUAGCAAUUUUCCUGUGAGAAGUGUUCUGUCGAAGUGUUUGGUUCUUGUUGCUUAGCCUUUAUGUUUUGACAUGACUUGUGUUUGUCCUUGUGCUUGUAUCCAUAUUUGUUUGUUUCGUUGUUAUGUCUUUAUUAUGUUGCGUUUUGGUCUUAGAUAAGCAACCAACCAAUAUUUCUUGGUUUCUUGUGAUUUCUAUAUCCCUAAUAAUAUGGAAUUUAUUCACAAUUGUAAUAGUUUACAGUAUCAUAUUUUCUCAAUUAAAAAAAUAAUUGAUAGAACUAAAGGAUCAUACCAGCAAGGUGGAAUGUGGUAAAGCAAUAAUUUUGUUUGCUGAAAGAACAUAAGUCUAAACUUAAAACAAGGAAAUAUUUAUUGAAUAAUCAGUAUUUAUCUAUUUUGGCAAUUUUCUCAGCCCUAGCUAUUUAAGCCUUACUUGUGGGCUAUUUUGAACAUCAAGAGUUUAUUUCAGAUUUUUCUCUCCUGUUGGGUCUCUUUCAAGCCCGUUUUGCACUUAAUUUUGAAUUCUUUUAAUUAAAUCGGUUUUAAACUCUUAUAUCAACAAUUGGAGGAUUGUUUUAAGAUUAGAUUAUUUAAUUGUAAUUUUUCUGAAAAAUACAAGAGUUUUUUUUCUUUAUUCGUCUAUAAUGUCAAGGCUAUAAGAGAACCCUAAUUCAUUCAUGCCUCAUGAAAUUCAAUUUGGCCAGUGGUGGUAUAAGGAAACAAAAAGGUUGUUAGAAAAAUUAAGAAUUUUGAAUGUUUCAUUUUAAAAUGGUGACUACUUUUUAAUUUCAGAAUUCCAGAUUGUUAAAUCUUCUAUUACUUGUUUGCCUCUUAUGAUUUCUACUGUUGUGAUAGUCAAGCUUGAUGAUAUAAAUUACCUAUUCCAGUCUUAUACUUGGCUCCUCCAAGCAUGCAAUUGAAGGAGAAUAUAAAGAUAUCAAAGGCUCUAGUCCUGCCACAUAUCAAAAGAUUAGAGAAUAAAAUAGUUAGAAUGUUGUUAGUAACUGUUAGCCUUAUUUGUUAGUUAAGAGAAUCAGUUAGUAUUAUUUAGUGAAGAAUAGAUAACGUGAAAGGAAAACAGACAAGAAAAACAAAAAGGAACAGCAAAGAAAAGAAAAGGAAAAACAGCAAACGAAAAAAACAAAGAAGGAGAGAAGAAAAGUAGUCUUUCUCUCUCUAUUUAUCUUUCUAUUAGUUGCAUCACCAUCGCCAUUCUUCCUCCUCACCGCCACCAACAUCACCAUAAGCCAUCGUAGGUCCGCUUCCCCCUCUCUUUCUUCUUCUUCUCCCCCACCCCGAUCUUCAUUGUUCUACUAAUGAAUAGUGAAGGGUGAAUUAUAAUUCACGCUCCACGUGGAGAGCCAUUAUUUCUAGGUCGGACCAAUACCUGCCUAGACCAAAACAUUAGGGUCGGGUCCAACUUAAUUCCCCUUAGUAUAGAGUACAUUGGGCUGAAAUUGGCCCCACUCCUAAUUCGGGCCGAUAUUGGCCCAACUCUACUAGGCUAAUCUCAGCCCAAUCGCUUUUUAGGUCAACUUUGUGCUAAUUCCUUUUAAAUCAAACUCGGCCUAACUAGGGUGGGCUCAGCCCACAUAACUGGGCUAAGCCCAUCCUAAUAUAUUUUAAUAUAUAAUUAUAAUUAUAAUUAUAUAUAAAAAACAACAAAAAAAAUCCAAAAAUCCUUUUAAAAAAAUUUGUGAUUUUCUCAUGUAUUUUUCUACCAUUUUGUAUUAAUAUAGGUUUAUAUUUUUAUACUAUAAAGAUACAAAUCCAAUAUUAAAAUAUCUAGUUUUCUCUGAAAUAUUGCAAAAAUAUAUAUAUAGAGAAAAAAAAAUAUCUUGUUUUCAUGCAUACAGUUAAGUCUCUUAAGCUUAUAAGAAAUUUUCAUAUCAUAUUUUCAUACAACAAAAAAUUCAAAAAAUAUGUAUUAACAUGCACUUUGAAUUUUAAAAAUCAGUUUAUUAAAGUCAUGAGAACUAGACCAAUAUUUUAAAAAUACCAAAAAACAUUAUUUUGUUUUCUUUUAAUAUUUGAGAUUUUAAACAUAUACGUAAGACAUAUUCUUAAAAUUAAAUAAAAAGUAGUUUUUUUUUUUUUUUUACGUUAGAAUAGUUAGGUUUUAUCUGAUAAGAUAAUGAUCUCCUUAUUGAAAAGGAUUUUUCUUAAACCUUUGACAGACCAACAAUUAGAAAGCACAACAACACCUUAGUAUACAUUAAACAAUAAGCAAUGCAGCUUACCUUAGAUAGAGUGUAUUAGGGGUGAUAAUAUCUUUAUUUUAAGCAACCAGUCCUCGUGUUCGAUCUCUGAAACCAGUUAUUGUUAAUAGUGACAAAAAUACCAAAUGGUGAUUUUCAUUCCCUCUCUCCACUAAUAAAAGAUAAAAAAUCAUUUUCUACCCCAUUUCCCGAUACCACCCAAGAGCACAAUCACGGGCGACACUUUGGAUAGGUUGAUUAACUUGUUGCUUAUUUAUCACGCUAUGUCAUGUAGCUUUUAGUUAUUAUUUUGAAUUCUAAAAUAUAAAGACAGACUUUUUGUAGACAUGGUUUUAGAGUUGAAUUUUCCAGCGUUGACUUUUUAUUUUACGUCUCUCUCUCUCUCUCUCUCUCUCUCUCUCUCUCAUACUUGUCACUUAUGUCCUAAAUUGUUAACCAAACACAAUCUACUAUCAAAUUUAAUAGUUUUACUGAUUAAUUUUUUUUUCAGUAUUUACACUUAUAAUUUGUCGGUGUGUAUAUUACCAAUGGGCUAAUGGAUGGAAACAAUCUGUCAGAAAAAAUCUCAUUUGUAAUUUAUUGUUUGUCAAUAAUAAAUAUAUUGAUGAAUUUACAGACGACAAAAACACGUAAAAAAAAUUAUUCACUACAUUCUGUUGAUAUCUUUAUCGGUAAAUUUAACAUAUCAUCGACAGGAAAAUCGUAUGUAAUGUCAUCAGUGUUUAUAUUUAUCCAUCGAUAAAUAUAACAUAUCACCAACAGAAUACCAUCUGUAAUUCUAUCAGUGAGUUAACCGUCGAAGUGAUAUUUGCAGUAAUUAUUUUCCAACUCUCUCUAAAUAUACAGACGGAGUUGUUCCUUCAGUAACCCCGUCAGUGGUAUUUAAUAUAUAUAUAUAUAUAUAUAUAACUAGAAAAAUAUUUAAAAUAAUAUAAAAAUCAAAUAUGUAUUACAAAUUUAAAUAUUUGUACGUUCAAAUACAAUAAAUCUAAAAUAGAGGCAGUAUUGGAGGAGAAGGAGGCUAGUUGUUGUCGGGAUCGUGAGGCAAAUUAGAAGGUGUGCAUGUACCACCUAUCUGUGAUAUCAUCUUCAUUACCAAUAAAAGAAGUUCUUUAUAAUUAGCAAUGAGUCAUUCAUAUUUUUUUAUUAAGAUGAGUUAUUUGAGCAUAUAUUCGUUGGUAUAACAUCACAACGAGCUUGAGAGUUUGAGUGGUCAGAAUUGAAUGUGAGCAUCCAACGAUCAAAACAUUAUGGGUCGUCUACAAGUUAUUAGUCGUAAUGUUAAAAAGUUCAUACACCUAAUUUAUAUCGGAUCCACCAAACAAUCCUGCUUAUAACCACAAAUCCAGAUCAAGAUUUGGAUGGGUCGAAGGAUCAUCCUUGUAUCUCUUCUUCAACUAACUGUUAUACGUAUUCUGGAAAGAAAAAAAAAAUUCAUCAAAUUCAAGGAAAUAUUAAAAAUAAGUUUGAGUUAAACCAAUAUUUUGUUGUUUAUUUAGUUUACAUAAUUAAUUAAUACAUGUUGUCAUCAAUAUUCUAUAUAGGUUUGACAUAAGUAAUGGAUGAUUAUUUAUGGAUGUAUCAAGAUUCACCGAAACGGUUGCGUAGGAUGGAUUGUUGUAAUAAAGUUCAGGGUUUUAUUAAUUAUGCACUAUUUAAUUCGAGAAAUAUUAAUGAAAGCAAUAUUAGAUGUCCAUGUAUGAGAUGUAAAAAUGAAAAGUUUCUUGAUUCAGAUAUUGUAACGAUGCAUCUUCUACAAAAAAGGUUCGUGAAGAGAUAUUUGUGUUGGUUUGCAUACAAAGAACCAUAUGUUCCUCAUGAGACCAUUAUAGAAAGAAUGAUUGGGUCAACUUAUAGUUCUAGCAACGUGCAUGAAAUUAUAUAUAACAAUAGUAAUCCUUAUAGGACUUUGGUUAAAGAUACGAUGAAAAUAAAUCAGGGUUAUGCUAGUAAAUGUUCAAUCAUAAAUGAAGAACAUAACACAAACACGACCAGUUUUUUUUUUUUUUAUCUUUUGAAAGACUUUGACGAUACUUUGGGAUUUAAAGAAAUUGACAAACUCAUCAGCCUAGGAUACCAUAAAAUUGACAUGUGUCCAAACUUUUACAUAUUGUAUUACCUUGAAAAUGUAGAGUUGAUCAAGUGCAAAACAUGUGGGCAUGCUCAUUAUAAAUCUAGAACUGGUAGGGAAGGACUUUUAUCGCACAUAGAAAACUUAGAUACUUCUUAAUCACACCUAGACUACAAGGGUUAUUCAUGUCACCAAAAAUUAUUGAGCACAUGACAUGGUAUCAUUCACAUGAUGCAGUGGAUGAAGUAAUAGUGCAUCAUUCUGAUGGUGAAGCCUGAAAACAUUUUAAUAUGGUGCAUCUUUAGUUUUCAAUGGAAUAAAUGAACGUGCUUCUUGGGUUAUGUACAAAUGGAUUCAAUCCAUUCAAAUCAUUUGCUACUUCUUCUUUUUUUAAUCAAAUGUAAGAAUAUAUUGAGAUCAAAGGAACAAAGCCACAAAAAUAGGAAAACACAAAAUAUAUAUACAGUGAUGAGGGUAACCAAUACCCUGAACUAAAAUGGGAACAUGCUCCCAUUGAAAAGAACAUAAAAUAAACAACUCCAAGGCUAGAAGUAGCCACACAGAAGACAAAAAAAAAGAGUGGUAAAAUUGAGCAUAACCAGCCAAUCCGAUGUACUGCCAGCCAAGCCAACUUACUGCCACCCAAGCCAAGACAAGCUGCCGAAAGCCAAUAGAACAUCCAGCUGCUCCUUUUCCAUGCAGGACCAAGGCGGCAACAUAUACCCCACAACCAAAACAGCAUCACAGCAGCCCUUAUUCCAUCCAUGAGCCUUAUCAUGCAGGGACGUGAAAAGCCAUGGCCAAUAGCAGCCUCCUAGAAAAACAGCCAAGACAACUUUAAAAAUCCAUACAUUAAAUAAUCAAUGCAGGUCGAGGAUCCAAGCAAUCAUUUGCUACUUCUUAUUUUUAUUGGUUGGUGAUACUCCUGGUUUACAAUUUUCCAUUGGGGAUGUGUAUGAGGUCGGAGUUCAUAUUUUUAUCUAUAUCAUAUUUGAUCCUAAUAAUCUGUGUCGGAAUAUAGAUGUUUGUCUUCGUCCACUUAUUAAUGAGUUGAACUAGUUGUGGUCGUUCAGGGCUUUGAUAUAUAAUGUAUUGAGAAAACAAAAUUUUUAGACAAAGGCACUUUCUUGUGGAGAAUCAAUGAUUUUUCUAUGUAUGGAAUGGUUUCUGGUUAAAACACAUGAAAAACUACAUGUCCAUAUUGUAUGGAAAAUAAUAAGGACCUUCAUGUUAACAAAUAGUGGUGAUUUUGAUGUUUUUAAGCUAAGAAAAAAUGUCUAAAAAUUGUUUAGGUUACUGAAGAAAUUGAUCAAACUUUCUUUAUGGGCUGACAAAAAAUAAUUCUUUAUAGGUCAAAGAUUUAUUUUAUAAUAAACUCAAUUCCAAAUCUAUAAUAGGUUAGCGAGUUUGGAGCCUAUGCCCAAGUAAAGUUAAGCACGCGUGUGGGAUAGAGGAUUUUGGGUUUCGUAAAAACAUUUAAACUAAGAGGUUUUUUAAAUUAAUUUUUUAUUUAUUCACAAUUUAAUUACUUUAAUCAUAUUAAUGUUUCAUGUUAAUAAACAUUUAAUAAUUUCCAACAAAGUUUUUACUCCAAAAGUGAAUGAAUUUCAUUUUAAAUUUAGCCCCAAAUGUAUCAAUUGAACAUGUUUUAUUAAAACAAUUCCUACACUAUCAUCCUUAAACUACUAGUUAUGAUGAAAACAUUGGAUUAUCAUUACAUAGCCGUGUGCUUACCACUACUAAAACAUGUGCUGAUUAUGAUUAUAUCUCAACACAAUACUUUUAUCAUAAAAAAAAAAAAACAGAGAAGAAUAUUGUGUCAUUUCUGUUGUAACCCAUUUUUGGGUCCCCAUGAAAAAUAAAAUAAAUAGCCAAAAGAGUUUAGAAAAAAUAGCAGGAGGCAGAAACGCUCAGAAAACAGUCAGAAAAUUGGUCAAGGAAUUUAAAAAUACAAGGAUUGAAUUUUUAACAAUAUAUUCUUGAAGGAUGAAAGCCCUAUUGAGAAGGAAAAUUUGAAUUUUGAGGAGAAAAGCCCAAAUUUGGAUGUUUAUGGAUUUAAUUGGAUUUUGUUUUUGAAUUUAUAGAAGAUUUGAUUACAAGAAAAAUUGAUUUUUAAGUCAAUUUGGGCUUUAAUUAGAAGAAAUUUAAGUUCUGGGGCCAAAAUAUAUUUUUUAGGAAUUUAUUGGGUCAAAUCAGGGGCUUAAUUGCAUAAAUAUUGAAGUUUAAUGGCCAAUUAGGGGCUUAAUUGUGAAAAUCCGAAACCAGGGACCAAUUUGGAGAAGGCGCAAAGAUAGAGGGGGCUGUUUGGAUUUGAUUCAGGGGCUUAAUUGAAGAAAUUGGAAGUUUAUUGGUCAAUUAGGGGUUUAAUUGUAAAAUUAGAGGCCAAGGACAAAGUGGAAAAACGCGGCCAACUAUGGGGUAGGGACCGAAUUGGCAGGGACGAAUUGAGUUAAACAAAGAUGAUUAAGGACUGAUUCAAAAAAUGUUCUGGCGCCUUUUCUUUUAAAAUGAAACGGCGCGUUUUAUCCAAAACGACGCCGUUUCAUGCAUAAUAAAAAAAAAAAAAAAAAGAGACCGAACGGUGCCGUUUUGAACGGCACUGUUCACUUUCUUCUUCCCCCGAACAUUACAGCGGGGAAGAAGGAAAAGUUUGUAUUUUUUUUUAUGUUUUGCAGGUCCCUCUUGCCACCAACCGACCGAGGCCCCACGCCGGUGGCCCACCGACAGAAGACGCUGGCCGACCACCCGCCGCGCUGCCGAAGCCGAGGGAGGCCCGCCUGGAUAGCCGCUCCCCGACAGCCGCUCCUCGACCCGCUCCUUGGCUCCACGGUGAAGCCACGCCUGUUAGUUCUAUAAAUAGAGAACCGAAGGAACCCGAGAGGACGACGAAAAAAAAAACAGAAGAGGAACCCGAAGAGAACAAGAAAAAACGAAGAGAGAGAGAAGGAGAGAGAAACCACAGAACUUAAGAAACAGCCACCGAAAACCUAAAACUGAGAAGCUUGGGAAAAUUUGAAGCCGAUAGGAAUCUCAGGAAACCGAAGCAGAAGCAACAAACCGGGUGAGCGACGACGAACCGUGGGAAAAAGCUGUAGCGCCGCCUGACUCGCCGUCCGUAAGCCACGACGCUGCCACCGCCUCCACCGCAGCACCGCCAGCAAGCCACCGUCUCCACCGCACCAGGUACGCUUCCUUUCCCCCCUUGCAUUUUUUUUUUAAAAAACCUGCAUCAGUUUUGCCUCCUGCAUGCAGAAUCAUGCUGCAUGCAGGAGGCGGGGGGGAAAAUAAUCCCCCCCCGUUUUGUUUUAUUUUUUAGUUCUCUGGGCCAGAUGGUGUCUGGCCCAGAACUAUGUGGGACGGGCCAGAGGGACCUGGCCCGAUCCGGCGGUCUGGGCCGGACAAGGUUAUUUAGUUUUUGGGCUGAGAUCGGCCCAGUACCGGUUGGGCUGAGAUCGGCCCAGUACCUGUUGGGCCAAGUUCGGCCCAACGCCUUUUAGGGUUGGGUCCGGCCCAGUUUAGUUGGGUCGGCCCAGCCCACUUAAUAUAUAUUUAUUAUAUUAUUAUAUUUUAUUAUUAUAUUAUAUUAUGCAUGUAUAUAUAUAAAAAAAAAAAAUCCGAAAAGUUUUUUUUUAAAAUAUAUUGUUGUUUCCUUUUCAUAUAUAUAUUUUUUAUAUACAUUGGUUUGUAUUUUUAUAUUGUGGAGACACAAACUCAGUGUUUAAAAUACCCGGUUUUCGUCAAAACAUCCAGAGUUUCAAAGAUAAAAAUGUCCGUUUGCUUUCAAAAAUUCUAAAAAAUAUCCUUAAGAAUAUUGUGGAUUUUCCUGCACAUUUUUUUUAUGAUUUUUAUAUUGGUUUGUAUUUUUAUACCGUGGAGAUACAAAUUCAGUUUUUUUAAAUACCCGUUUUCGUCGAAAAAAAUAUAUUUACAAAAAAAAAUGUUUUCUUGCGUGUUGCAUACGGCCAAUACUCUAACAUGUUUUGAUUUCUUUUUUUUUAAAAAAAAAAAUAUUUUGGAAGCUUCGAAAGUGUGUUUUCGCAUAGAUUUCUUAAACACAAAUUAUUUUCUUGCAUUUUUGGAUUUUACAACAUGUUUGUAAAACUCCAAAGGGUAUUGGCCAAUAUUCCAAAAAAACUAUAAAAAUCUUUUUGGGGGAAGAAAAUUUAUUUAUUAUUCACCGCUAAUGUUUGGAUAAAGAAAUCCUUAAAAGGAUGAAUAUCCAAAAUAUUAUUGGGAGUAAUAAAUCCGUACACAUUCUUGAAAGAAGCCUUGAUUAUAAUCGAGGACAUUUCAAAAUUUUAAUUUUUUUUUCCCACGAUUUAUGAGUCCCAAACUCUUGAAAUACUAAAGGGAAAAAUGAGCUUUCAAAGCACAUGGAAUCUCCUUAGAUUUCUAUCCAAAAUCAAUUGACGAGCCUAGAAAAUACCAACACCAUAGCAAUUAUAGAGCAAACGAAACACCAAGCAGCUUACCUUAGGUAGGGCGUACUAGGGGUGCUAAUACCUUCCCUUUACGCAACCAGUCCCUUGCCUUAGAAUCUCUGAAAGACCAGUUAGGGUUCCUAGUGACCAAAAUACUAGGUGGCGACUCCAAAGAACCAAAUCCGCUAAACAGAACAAAAUGAAAGUCGCCAGUCGAAUGUCGCAAAAAACAAAUUUUUUUUUUAUUUUUAGGAUUUUUUGGGGUGCGACAAUUUCUAUCAUCCAACUUGUGAAUAUGAUGAUAGCGUAUAGUAAAAUACUUCUAUUGGCCUGGAAGUUUCCCGGAUCUCUCUGGCAGAUGAACGUGGAUGAGGUUUUUUUUUUUUUUUUUUUUUGUGAUGCAAAUCAUGAGAUCAACAGCUUCUUCUUUUUUGUUUUUUUUUUUUUUCUAGCCAUCUGAAAAACUGUAGUAAUUUUGUUAAAUAUGAGGUGUGAUAGAAAAUUUAACAAGCCCUAACUUUCAGGGAGAGAAAUCUGCUCAUCAGUUUAGCUCACAGACUCGUAACUGGUGAUGACUUGACCGGCUAAGCAAGGUUUUUUUUAAUAAAAAAAAACAUAAUAAAAUUUAUAUUUCAUUUACAAUAAGACUCCUUCAACCGCAAAAGCACAUAUGAAAAUAUGAAUUUUAAUAAAAUAGCAGCGUUUGUUGCUGCGUUUGCACCUGUGUUUUGCUCAAAUUUGAUUUAUUUUUUUUUGUAAAAUUGAGUUUGAUUUGUAUUUUUUGGAUCGUUUUGAUGUGCUAAUAUCAAAAAUGAUUUUUAAAAAAUAAAAAAAUAUUAUUGGCAUGUAUUUCAGCACAAAAAACUAUUUAAAAAACAACUGCUACUACACUAUCAAACACGCUCAGUCUUAUGUCUAGAUUUGUCUGUAGAUUUUGCGAAAAACAGAGGAAAACAGGGCAUUUCUAGUUCUGAUCAUGACUUUUAUCUAACAAAACCAUGAUUGAAUUGUUAGAUAGAGCGCAGAUUAACAUAGAUCGAGGCAAACCAAUGGAUUCAACAGCCCGAUGACGAGUGCCAUGCAUGAUCAAUUAAGACCACAGUUGCAUCAUCAUGGCACCUACCUGCUGGAGAUUUAGCCAACAAACAGGGGUUAGUGGGCAUGGGAGUAGAUGGACGUUGACAAGGACAUAAAUACUCUGUCAAAUAUGCGAGCUUCCACGUUGAGGUGGUUGGGGUCUUUCUUGAGACAUGAUUGCUGGGGUCGAGAACUGUAGAACAAUUUCCCUUUAUAAAAUAUAGUUAUCAGAACUGGCUCGAGUUCUGAUCAUAAUAAAAAGCUAAGAUGAACUGAGUCAAUUCUAAAAUUACAUUAAAAAAAAUCUCAAGAAGUUCAUAGAUACUGGGAUUAGAAAAUCUUUCAUGAUUUUCCCAAUUUAGGGUUCUCUAAUACUGGGUUUAAUUAUGAAUUAGUGUAUUGAUGAGCAUUUAUUUAUUUUUGGUUCUAUAUGGUUUAUUCUCUUUUUGAUUGAAUUUUUUAACAAUCAUUUAUAUAUAGAUUGCUUUGUUCACCAAAAAAAAAUAAAAAAUAUAUUAACUUUUUUAGUUUUGAUUUUUUCCGGUUUUAAUCAAAUAAAAAAUUAUUUUUACCAUCUUUAAUUUAAAAACCGUUUGUUUAAUUUCAAAUAAAAAAUAAUCAAAAUAAUGCUUUUAAUUUUAAAUCAUAGUUUAAAUAUAAUAUUGACUGCAUAGACAAACAUAAUCUUACACUAACAAAUAAUUAUAUAAAAAACAUCGUGAUAUUUAUAACAUGAUUUUCAAUAAUUAUAUUGAAAUAUUAUUAGUAUUCUCACUUGCAUGUUUUAACUAUAAGGUAAUUUGGAUAAUAUUAACAAGAAUGGGGAUUUUAACUUAAUCUCAACCAUAUAUCGAUAUAUAUAAAUUAAUUGAUCUGAAAAUAUCAAAAGAUAGAUGGAAGCAAACAGACGUAACACUUUUCCCCCGCAUGCAUGAUUGAGACGAUAGGGCGAAAUAAACGGAAUCAGCCUGGGAAAAAUACAAGGAUGAAAAUGAAAACAAAGUAAAAGAAAAGGGGUUACAAAUAAAGUAAGGAAACGUUUUAGCAGGGUCUAAUUGAAAGAACAAUUUUCCAAAAAGUGAAUCACCUUUGGGAAAAAAAAGAGGUUUUCGGCUGUGAUUGAGGAUUCAUAGGAUUUUUCCACCCUGUAGGGCCCAGUGGGAUUUUUUACUAAAUCCUUUUGACUAAUGAAAUUGAGUAAUUUUCCACUAAGAGACAAAAAUGCUUGUAUCGAUUUGAAAUUUUGCGUCGGAGGGAAAGCACAGAAGGGAACAAGAUUUGAAUUUUGAUCCAUAAGAAGAAAACAAAUUUCUUCAUUUCAAUGGCUGCCAGCUUCGCAAUAGAGUGGCGGGAAAAUCUGAUCUAGCUUUCUUGACAAAUACUACAAGUCAAUCAGAGAAAUAUUUGAUUAUGAAAUGGGAUAAUAGAGAUUUGGUGCAUCUUAUGGUAACUGAGAUUUGAAUAUUAGGAAAAAGAGUAGAUAUCUAAAUAUUAGUUUGGGACUGGUAGUUGGAGUAUGAUAUCGAUCUUGCUGUAUUUUAAAUGUAUUUAAAUUCUCAUUAGGAAAAAAAAAAAAAAAGAGUUAAUAGUGACAGGGUAAAUUAAAGAUGUGUUAAAACAAGAAAAAUAUCCUGUUUCAAAUUGUAUUUUUUAACUACAAAUAUCAUUUUAAUUGUUAUUCAUUUAAAUUCUAGUUUGAAACACAACAUAUCAUAUAAAUAAACAAGUGAAGUCUUAAUCUAUAAACAACGUGUAUUAAUUGUUAUCAUAGAAAAUCUGUUAGAUACAAACUAUGAAUUAAAAUUUAAUAAUUAUAAUUUUUUUUUAAAAAAAAAUCAAUUUAUAAUGCUUUUAUAGGCUUAACUAACUCAUUUAAUUAUUUUAAUAAUAUGAUGUUGCUACUUAAGUUUACAUUAUCAAUCACUUUUGUUGAUAUUAUUAUCAUUAUUUCUAUUAAUAUCAUCAUUAUUAUUAAUUAUUAUCUCAACCAUCAUCAUUACAGAUAUUAUAUUUUUAUAUUAUUACUUUUUAAAUAACAUAAAAUUUGUUUUGUAAUAAUAUAUCUUAUGAAAAAAUAUUUUAUAAGUACAAUAUUUUAUGGCAAUCAAAUGCCUUCUCGCUUAUUAAGGAUUUGCUGACGUGGUUGAUAGUUUUUUUUUUCAAACUUAUUAUAUCAUUGAUAUAUAAUUUGAAAUAUCCGCAUCAUGACAUCAAUGAGCAGUUGCUUGGUGAUUAAGGGGAGCUAUAAAAUCAUGUCCAAAAUUGCUGGCAACCCACAUUAAAGUCAAGAAUUUGCUAAACGACGAGCUGGCCUUUAAAAUCUCUCCCUGUGUUUUCUUUAUUCAUUUAUUAGUGACAAAGAAACCAAAUUCUCCCUUACACGUUCAGUUUUUAUUUCAUAAUUUUAAGGGUUUUAGAAGUGUGAUGAUGAUUAUUUUUUAAAGUAUGUUUUAUUUAAAGAUAUAUUAAAAUAAUUUUAUUAUUAUUUAAAAAAUAUUUUUGUCACCAGCAUAUUAAAAUGAUAAAAAAAAUAUUUUUAUACAAAUAAAAUUAAUUCUUUAUGAAAUAUUAUUUAGAACUCAAUUUCAGUUUAAUUUGAUGAGUUGAUUUAAAAUCCAAUUAGAGUAGAGUUUGUAAUUAGAACGACCAAAAUUUUAACCUGAUAAGACUAGUGGUUUUGAUUAAUACUAAAUUAGAUAAUAAUAAUAAAAUACUUCGAAUGAAAUUAUUUAAAGUGGAAUUCAAUUUAGUUUUAAUAAUAUACUACAUAUUAAUUAAAAAACUUGGAACUUUUUUUAUUAAUUAAAAAGCCUAGCCUACUUACAAAUAUCAACAUAAAUAGUUCUAUUUAGUUUUAAUAUAUAUAUAUAUAUAUAUAUAUAUAUAUAAGCAGUAGGAAGUUGAAUUUGUUUUAUUAAUUAAUUCACCUGGUGGUGUAUUCAGUCAAGAGUGAAAGAUGAUAGGUUAUUUACAAGUCAAAAUCUUUAAAAAUUAAAAAACAUAAUAACUGAAAAAAGAUACAUAAAAUAUUUAAUAUUUAAUUAUUUAAGUCUCACUUAUCAAAAAAAUCAAUUAAACCUUUUAUAUAUAAAAAAACUGAAUAACCCUAUUAAUACUAAAUAGAAAAAUUAUUCCCUUUAAAUAUAAAAACUAGAAAAGCUUAAUGAUACUAAAUAGAAAAACAAAACUCAUAAACUAAAAAUAAAUAAAAAUUAUUGAGCAAAAAUAUUUAUUUUCCCAAAAAAACUUCUACAUUAAUUUUUAUAAAUCAGAAGAAACUCGUUCCGAGUUCAAAUUAUUCAUGGAGUUGAACCCUCUUGGUUGAAAAACAUCUCUUCUACCAUUAAAUUAUAUAAUGAAAUAUUCUUUCAGCAAAACCUCCUCAAUUAAAAACCAAUAAUCAUUUUAUGUGUGUUACCUCAUUACAAGUUCUUAACAUCUUUAUAAGAGUUGUUGUAUUAUAGAUCUGAAACAUAUUUAAAAGUUUAAAAUUAGUUUUAAUAUUAAUACAUCAAAACAAUUUGAAAAUAUAUUUUUUUUAAUUUUAAACAAAAAAAUAAAAUUUUAAAUUUUGAAAACAUGAUAUGCAUCAAGUUUCAAACCUAAGAAUAGUUAGAACUAGUUAUAUGACCCGCGCAAUGCCACGAGUCAAUUUGUUUUGCAUAAAAAAAUAUGAAAAAAAAAGUUAAGAUAUAAAAGUGUUAGGUUUUUUGCAAAGUUAUACUCAGGAGCCGUGAGUUUGACUGCAACGCCUAACUCAAGAGUAAUAUUUAUAAUAUUAAUAAUAAUAUCAAACUUGUAUGACCCAAGUUUAAGUGAGUUUUACUGCAAUACCAAAACCAAUAGUCUUGGAUGUGGAUGUGGCUGCAAAGUCGUGUCAUAAAAGUGUGAUAAUAAAAUAAAUUGAUUAAAAAAAAACCAACAGGAAGAAAAAAACUAAUAAAAAAAAGAAAAAAAAUCUGAAUUAACUGGGUUAACCCAUCAAACCAAGUUAACCCUUCAAACCUGGAAUCCGUGUCAUGAAAGUCUGAUAAUUAAACAGAAAAAAUUUAAUAUUAAGAAACUAAAUUAAAAAAAUAAUUAAAAAACAAAGAAAAAAGACAAAAAAAAAAACUAAAGGCAUUAACUUUUUCACUGUGAAUUGCACUAUGAAAUCCAUAGUAAAAGACUUAAAAAGAAAAGGAUAAGGAAAAAAACACAAAGGCAUACGCCACGGGUUAAUUUUUUUUUUCUUGCAUAAGAAAUAUGAAAAAAAAACUAAGAUUUAAGAGUGUUAGGUCUUUCUACAAAAACAUACCUAUGAGCCUUAGGUCUAGCUGCAACGUUUGACCCAAGAGUAAUAUUUAUAAUAUUAAUAAUAAUAUUAAACUUACAUGAAUCAAGUUUAAGUGGGUCUGACUGCAACACCGGACUCAAGAGCCUUAGAUGUGAGUCUGGCUGUAAGGUCGUGUAAAAAAAAUAUGAUAAUUAAAUAGAUUAAUUAAGAAAAAACAAAUGAAGAAAAAGAAAAAAAAAUUGAAUUAAUUGGGUUAACCCUUCAAAUCAGGUUAACAUGUCAAAGUUGAGAUUCGCGUCAUGAAAUUUUGAUAACUAAAUAGAAAAAAAAAAGUUGACGGGUUAACCCAGAAUUAACUGGGUUAAUCCGUUAACACAGGUUAACUCGUCAAGCCCGAGACAUGUGUCAUGAAAGUUUGAUAAUUAAAUAGAAAGAAAUUUAACUUUAACAAACUAAACUAAAUGAAAAAAAAAAAAUUAAAAAGCAAAAAAAAAAUUGUGUUAACUCGUCAAAUCAGGUUAACCCGUCAAAUCUGGGAUAGUCUGAUAACCAAAUAAAAAAAAUUAACAUUAACAAACUAAAUUAAAUAAAAAAAUUCAUGAAAAGAAAAAAACAUAAAAAAAUUCAUAAAAACAUAAAAAAAAAAAAAUUAUUAUUUCACUGUGAAUUUUAUAGUAAAACACUGAGCAGAUUUAGUUUAUUGUUAAUACGCAGUCUGGCUGACACCUAAUGUCCUAAAUAAGAAAACCCAUUGGGUUUUACGUAUGAACAGAAAAAAAUAGAAAUGUGAACAAUUGAAGAUAAGAAAGAGGUAUUUCAAACAUUUUUUUUUUUAACAAUAAUAUAUGAAGAUCUGGUGCAUAAUUUAACUAACUGAGUCCUGGCCUCGACCAAAUACUUUGGCUUCUUCUUCCCGCAAGCUAUCCACAGAGCCAUUUCACGAAUCAUGUCAUGCAUUUUCUCAUCUCUGGCGCCUUCAUCUUCCAAUCAGCAUUAUUGAGUAAGACUGUCAUUGAUGUUGUAACCUUCAAUUCGAGCCCCUCAUACAUCUCCAUAUUCACCCAAAAAUCCCUCCCAUGGCCAACCAAUAAUCUAAUUCCGGGAAGAAAGCACAAUACAGGAAACAAUAAUUAACUUUGUUGCUGUGAAGACUAUCAUAACCAAGCUUCAGCAGAGCAAGGUCCCUAUAGGAAGUACCUGAAAAGUCUGAGGUGGCCUUACUUCUGGUAGGGAUCCUGAGACGCCACUACCCAUAUAACGAAAUCGAAAUGGAGCUGUGAGUUGAGCAAGCUGUUGCAGACUUGAGUCAAGAGAGCAGUCUUGAGAAAGAUUGACAUCCUGCAAACCCACGACAACAAUGAGAUAUAUGAGAAAGCAGUGAAAAUUUUGGAGAGAUACUGGGCUGAGGAAGAAGAUGGAGAACCAAUUGUCCAAGAUGGUGGAGAUGGAAAUCAGCAAGGUUUUGCUUUUGGAACUAACCAGCCAGCGUUCCUCAAGGUGGCUUCAAGUUUGGGCGAACGCCUCUCUAGCUUUUUGUAGAUUUUUUCACUUGCUUUGAAAUUUUCAACACUAUAUGUUCGUUGCUGCCAAGGCUCAGAAUUUUUGGUCUGGCACAUAGGGUUUCAGUAUCGAUGGAAAUUGUCAAAAAAUGUUAAAACUUUAGGACUCCACCUUGGAAUUAGUCGAGUUGAAUUGUAAAAUUGAUGUAAAGGAUCUUUGUGAUUGUCUUGAUAUGGAAUUAGACUCGUGCUAUGAUAUAUGAUGAGUUCUUAUAUAUUGAGAGCAUCAGACUUGUCCCGAAUGGCUGGUUUCUGAUGUAGCUAGAGCAAAUUUUCUGAUGUAGCCACUGAAAAUGUAGCUGUUAUGGAUUGUGCAUCAUCUUUUCAACUUACAUCUCGAAUGGAUGAGAUGUUUGAGCCUGCUGCAAUGAAUGCAAUGUGAAAAAAACUGCCGCAGCUUGGAGGCAGUAGCACUGAAAUGAUUUCCAUGUAGCUGUUACUCAUGUUUAUCAAUCCCCUCUUAUGAGGCAUAAAGGGUUGACAAGUGGAAAGCGUUGAGGCACAAACAACCAUAGUUAUCAGACAUGGUUAUGGUUUGAGUUGUGGAUUUUGUUAGAUCAAUCAUAAAAUGAAGUUGUUUUGUUAUUUAUAUAAAUAAAAAUUAAAAAAAAUUAUCAAGUCAAUUUUUAAAUCAAUUCAAAAUAAAAACCUAAUCUGAGUUCGAUUUCAAGUAUAUGAAUUAUCGAAUUAAUCUGGCCGAGCAAGUUUUCAUAACCACGUACAAAUCAAAAGCCCUUUGAUUGAAUCAACAAAAUUCGGGAGAGGAUCUAAUCUCCAUCAUUAGACAUUAUAAAGAAGGGCUAGACGCAAUAUUAAAUGGGCCAGAAAGAUCUUAUCAUCUGAAAAUAAUAAAUGAAGAUUAGAGGGUUCAUUUUUUACAAUCAAGACUAGGGCUUUAAGUUUAUAGGCCUUUGUAAAGUGUAGUAGCUCUGUCCUGCGUAGCUCAACCAUGGCAGACAGCAACGAGAAUCAGCAUGACAAAGGCAAAGAGCAAGAGCAAUAUGGUGUCCUGCUUUACUACAAAUACACAGAAAUCCCUGAUCUCAACUCCCUCCUCUCCUUCUACAAUUCCAACUGCACUUCCCUCUCCCUCCUUGGCCGUGUCCGCCUCUCUCUCCAUGGAGUCAAUGUCACUGUAAUGCGCCCAACUCAAUAACCCCAACUUUUUGCAGUUUAAAUCUCAAAAGUUUGAAUCAUUUUGGUUAUUAAAAUUUUGGGUUUCCUUUGUUUUCUUCAAUCAUAUCACAAUCUCAUUGAAAAGUUUGAAACCUUUUGCUGUUUGGGAUUUUGGGUUUAGUUAUUUGAGUCCAAAAAUUGGAAAGUUUGGAACUUUUUGCUUAUUAGAAUAUUGGGUUUCUUUUGUUUUCUUCAUUGGUUUAAGUUGGAGGCAAGUUGUCUUCAUUGGAGAAACAUAUUGAAGCUGUGAAAGCUAUUAGUUUAUUUGAAGGGACUGAUUUCAAGCUUGCUUCUUGUCAUUUCCCAUUGAAUGACAAGGUUGCUCAUGAAUGUGGCUUCACUUCUCUUUCCAUUCGCAUUGUCAAGGUAUGAAUCUUUGUUCUAUCAAACUUUGGUUUCUAUUCGUAUCAUUGUUUUGAGCUAUUUGGUAUAGUAUAAGUUUUGAUUUGAUAUGCGUUUGUGUUUGCGUUUGCUUGCUUGGUCUAACAUCUUGAUGCGUUUUGGUGUGGCUAGGAAUUGGUUACUCUUAGCCCUUAUCCUCUUGUUAAAGCACCGGAUGUUUCAAAUGCUGGUAGGCAUUUGUCCGCUGUGGAGUUCCAUUCUCUUCUUCAAAGUGCUGGUGAGUUGUGAUUUUCUUUUUGAAAUUUUAUUGCAUGCUUUACUUUUUGGUUUGCUUUCGUUUUAUAGGCUAUGUUUAUUCUUCUUUGUAGUAUUUUGUUCUCUAAAUUUGGUUUUGUUGUUUUGAUAUGUAAGAGAAUGACUAGUAAUGGUUAACUAUGUGUUGGGUGAUUCUGUUUAUGUUUCUCAGGGAAGCUUGUAGAUAAAGAAAGUCUAGUUGAUGAUAAAGGUCUUGUUUUAUUAGAUGCAAGGAAUCUGUAUGAGACGAGAAUUGGGAAGUUUGACAUGCCAAAUGUGGACACUUUGGAUCCUGGAAUCAGACAGUAUAGUGAUCUGCCAUCCUGGAUAGAUGAUAAUUCUGAACAAUUGCGAGGAAAGAAUGUCCUGAUGUAAGUGCUUGUUCCAAAAUUGACUUUUUAUUGGUGUUGACCUGAACUUCACUCUGUUUUCCAUCUGAUUUGUAAAAUCAUGUUAUCAUGGUUGAAAGUUGGUGCAGUUAUGGCUUCAAACGCCCAUUUUUCCACUCUAAUCUUAGUAUGUUUUGUUUGGGUGCUGUGUAGGUAUUGUACUGGAGGAAUCAGGUGUGAGAUGGCAUCGGCCUAUAUUAGGUCAAAAGGUGCUGGAUUUGAGAAUGUAUUUCAGGUAAGCUUGGGAUCCAGCAGAAGCUAGUGUUAUGCUUACCUUGACCAUAAGAUCCUGAGGAAGUUAGGUCCUGAUUGUUGAUCGAUGUACUGAUAUAUUUUGCAAUGCUGGCUUUGUUGCAGUUGUUUGGUGGAAUACAGCGUUAUUUAGAACAAUUUCCAGAUGGUGGUUUUUUCAAAGGAAAGAAUUUUGUUUUUGAUCACAGGUAUGAUUGCUCAGAGUAAUUGCGACCCUAUUGAUUUUAAAGUUUUUACCUUAUCCUUUGGUGAUUGCAUAACAUCAUGCUUUUAUUGAACUUUCUGGUGUUCAAUAAAAGAAAACAAGCAAAGAAAAAGAAGUGUCGAUUUGCCGAGUAAUUUUGUAUUGUGGCUGUAGGAUUUCUGUUGGGAGCUCAGAUACAAAUAUCUUGGGAACCUGCCUUCUCUGUGGCUUAUCCUUUGAUGAUUACUCUUCACGAUGUAGAUGCUCAUAUUGUAGAAUGCUAGUAUUGGUCUGUGAUAGUUGCCGGGUAAGUUUUGAUGACUAGAGUCCUUCUACCAUUGAAUGUUAAUAUUUCUGACCAUUUAAGCAUGUCUAUCAUACUUUAGCUAGCUCCAUCUUGUCCAGUGAAUAUUCUAAGAACCUUAACCAAUGCUUCUCGAUUUUUAUCUAAAGUGAAACUUAAAAUAAUAGCUUUUCAGAUUUUCAUUUUCCCUUCUAAAAACAAUCAUUGCCUAAUAUGUAUGUGUUUUGAUGAACUGUUUGUUCAGCUCCCAUGCCGCUUGUAGGUUUCUGUAUUUUGUUGGGUCUUAUUUGUUAAUUUUUGUGGGUGGGCAGAAGGAGGAAGCUGUUUAUGCUUGCGAGCUGUGCCAAAAACAUGGAAAGGUAAUUGAGUCAAAUGUUGCUGAAAAUGGUGAACAGCAAAAUAUAUUGCCUCAAGUUGAGCUCAAAACCAUUUCCUCAGAUACUAUCCUCUCGCCUCAACUUCAUGGGGAACAGGGUAAGGUCUGUCUCCUUAUCACUUGGAUUGUUUUGGUUCCGUGUUUACCAAGAUAACAUGUAGUACAAUGGUGUAUUUAUCUUGGCUAAUAGUGAACAUCUGUCUUUUUUUAUCCCUGUUACAUCUUUCAUUUUGUUUUCUUCCAAGAACUUCUCAGUCUUAAUGUAAUUGUUCAUCCAAUAAAACAGGUGCUAGACCUCCAAGAAAGCUAAGAAUCUUGUGCUUGCAUGGGUUUCGGCAGAAUGCAUCUGGUUUUAAAGGAAGAACUGCAUCAUUAGCCAAGAAACUUAAAAACAUUGCUGAGCUUGUCUUUGUUGAUGCACCUCAUGAGUUGCCUUUCAUAUACCAGCCAUGUGUCUCGGAACUAGAGUGCAGUGAUGAAUCAUCAUUUUCGUCACAACAAAUUCUCCCCCCAACAGAAACUUGCAGGGGAAAGUUUGCGUGGUUGAUAGCACCUGAUUCCAAAGGAAGGAGUGCAACUGAUUGGAAAAAGGCAGAUAGUCCAUUUGAUCCCCUCCAGUACCUGCAGCAAACUGAAGGGUUUGAUGUAUCAUUAUCGUAUUUAAAGACAGUAUUCUCUCGGGAUGGGCCAUUUGAUGGGAUCCUGGGAUUUUCUCAAGGAGCAGCGAUGGCUGCUUUACUUUGUGCACAAAAAGGGAGGCUAAAAGGUGACAUUGAUUUCAGAUUUGCAAUUUUGUGUUCUGGGUUCGCUCUUCCAUUUGUGGAGAUUGAGAGUGGAUCGAUUAACUGCCCCACUCUCCAUAUAUUCGGAUGUGUUCCAGGCAAGGACAGGCAGAUUGCAAACAAAACAAGCAGAGAACUUGCUUCAUUAUUUGAAGAUGGUUGCUCAGUAAUUAUUGAGCAUGAUUGUGGUCACAUCAUUCCUACUCGGACUCCAUACAUCGAUGAAAUCAAAGGCUUCCUUCAACGCUUUCUGUAAUGCGAUUAAAAAUCCUUUGUUAACCAAUAUGGUUACUUUAAGAUGGCUUCUCAGCUAUUACCUGAUCCGUAUUUGCUUGUUACUCAUUACACCAUUUUUCUUCAAUCACUUGCAAAUACAAUUUAAUUCCAAGAUUUAUCUUUUUAUUAAAAAUAUUUUCGAAGUCCAUUGAAGCCCCUCAACUGAGAAUUUAAGAUUUGUACAACGUACAGACGGAAAUACUUCAUAAAAAACAGAGGAGAACAGUCACUCGUCUGCCUCAUAGAAGACCAGACAACGAACACGCAAGUUCUUCAGAAUGAAAACUGAGAACCAACAAAUCCUAAAUUUAGAUUUUUUGGAAUAAAAACUUUCAGCUUGUGUUUGGAAUUCUGAAGCAUUAUGGUUCUUAUAUCUUUACUUCAGCCAAUUGAGCCAAACAACAAAGCUGAUGGUUUCUAUAUGCAUUUCUCAGGAAGAGAUUUACAGUCAUAUACAUGAAACAAACAAGUAUGAAGCUUUGCCGACCUGGUGUUAGCAUUCGGCAAAUACACACAACUAUUCGUUAUGAACUUGAAAUCUAGAUUUUCGUUAUGACCUGGUCUUGUCAAUUUUUAUUUUCAACACGAAAAAUAGAUGCAUGAGUGUUAUGAUAUAUGCUUAGCAACCUGAAUUCCUUGGUGAUGAUCGGACAGGGGCUGGGAUGAACAUAUGGACCAGGGUAGUUUGGGCCACGUACUCACCUCCAGAAACUCCAAAAAAAAACUUGUUUUACAAUCGUGAGAAUCACCUCAUUGACCCAUUAGAUCAAUGACAAGCCCGAUCACUCCAAGAAUGGGCCAAUUCAUCAUUCAAUAAACCAAGUCAAGCUCAAUUACUUCACUGGCCUAAAAUCACAUUCCAUGGAAAACCUAAUUUAGUAUGAAGUUUUUAUAACCUCAUCAGAUGGCCUCAAAUUCUAUUAUUAGCAGAAAAAAGAAACCAUCCAGGCAUUUCAUUGUUGUGGGAAUUACGUAGAUUAAUAUCAUCUGCUUCCCAUGUUGGAAUGUUAGGGUGUGUAUUUGUUAUAUAUACUUGCAUGUUGUAGCAAACAAAGCUCAUUUAUAGAUAAACAUUUCCAUUUUCCAGCUAUAAUUAUCGGAUUUGGCUUGAGAUUUGACCCAGUUUAGAGCUCGGUUUAUUAGGUUAUUGGAUUAACUCAUGGUCACUAAGUCAUUCCAUAUUACUUCUAAUUCGACACUGUUUUGAAAAUUAAAAAAAUAAAAUUCAUUCGAGUUAACUUAUGGAUCGUGAAUCAAUUAUAUAGUCAUCUAAAUUUUAACUGAAUUAAUAUUUAAAAUAUUCAAAAUAAAACCUAAUCUAGAUUGACGACAAAUUAUUGAAUCGACCAGUCGGUCGGACAGGCCGAGCAGGGAUGGAUAUAUAUGUCCAUGAUAAUUCUAACACCAGCUACGAUCGUCCAUCGAAGCAAGUGUUGUAAUCAAUCAGUGUCAGUACUGUUUCUACCCUUUUUGAGUUGCUUAAGAACUAAGAUGUUGUUGUAAAUAAUAACAGUAAAGGAUGUUAAGAGUUAGCUGAGAACCACGGAGCAUCAUUUUGAGGUCGGAGCUUCACGCCCUCACCGCCCAAGCAGCACCAUCAAAACAACCAUCUAGAUGUACAAAACUACAAAGGCUCCUGGGGAUAAUCCAAGCAUGCAACUAUUUGGGUUGGUAGCUCGUCUAUUUCUGCACAUGGAAAGAAGCUUCAGACUUGUGUUUUCUCUCUUUUCUUUCACUCACGCAAGCAACCGAUCGUGAGCAUGAAGUGUUUUGACUUUUGGGCGUAGUCUGAAUCAAUGAAAUGCUUUCCUUCUUGUGUUUUUUUUAUAUGAUGUAUUGUUGAAGUGUUCUUUAUUAGUAAAAAGAAAUAGAAAUCUCAUUACAUGCCUUGAUCGGUAAAUUCUGAAGAAAGUAGAGUGGAUUAAGUUGAGAAAACCUGCACUAAACCUGAUAUGAACUGAGUUUAAUGAUAUAUUGAUUCGAUAAAAUUAAGUUGAUAUUAAAGAAAAGUUUUUUAAAAUAAAACGAAACUGCUUUAAUAAAAAUAAAUAACCUUAAUUGAUUUUUCCUUCGGUAGGUUGUAACAAUUGAGCCAGGAGUCUACAUCCCAUCCAUUUUUUACGGUCCGGUCCAGAUAGGUACUUCCCUUCCUGCGAAAGCCAUUAGGACACGUCAUGCAAGAAGCUAGUUGCUCUGCAGCUUGCAGAUUACAUUAAUGACAUGUUUGGAAUUGUAAAUCUGAAAAAUAUAUUCAGACUCGUCGUAAUUCAUAUAGAAAAUCCUUGAAUUUUACUAAGCUUUCAGGAGCUGGGAUUAGUUCCUGAGUAGCUCCAUGCCAAAAGAAGUAGAACACACAGUCCUUGCUAAACAACCGCAGUCAUGGAAGAGUUAAGGAAGCUCAAAAUAAUCUGGAAGUUGCUUCGUGUGAUCCACUUAAAAUUGUCAUUGGGACAAGACAAUGUCUUGUUGCCCUAAUUUCUAACUCUAAAAUCGUUUUACGACACAUUGGGCUUUCGCUACAUUGAUGUGAUCGGAGCGCGGAAGCAGAGUUAUACAGAAGCUGCUUCCGGUUGACAAUUCCCUCGAACAGUUGAAGAGUCAAUACAAUUGCUCAUUGCCUCAUCUCACUCCACAGGUAUUUUCAGGCCUGUAUCCUUUUUCACGUUGGAGAGGUAGGACAACGCCAUGGUUCUCAUUCCUGAGGCCUUUUCCCUCGUUUACCUCCUCUAUUCUUGUGAAACUAUAUAUUUAAAAAUAAACUCAGGUUAAUCUAUUAAUUUAUAGGUUGAUUUAUCAACCCGCAACAAGGAUAUUAAACCGUGAACAAUUGAGUCGGGUAUACUAACUAUGGCUACAUUAUUGCCAUUUUGUUCUGGUUAAUUAAUUUUAUUAUGCAAUCUCCAAUAAAUGGCUACGGUCAUGUUCACACCAAGAAGAACUUUAUAUUGACAGAUGCUUAUCGUUUCUUUUCCCCUGAUCGAUGUGAAAGAUGAUACCAUGUUUAGUUUUUUGGGGUGGCCGUAGGAUAAUAAAACAUUCGUUCUUUUUUUUUUUUUUUUUUUUGAGAAGUAUAAUAUUGCAUUAGAAGACGCCAAUAGAUGACGGGAACAUAGAGAUUCUGUUUACAGGACACCUAAACAGAACUAUGCAAUGAAAUGAACAACAUACCAAGAAACGAAAAGAACAAAAUGCAGCUACAAUAUACAUAUUUGAAGCCAAGAAAUCAAAGAAGCAGCUAAAAGAUGCAGAUUUGGAGCCACACCAGGAAGAGAAGCCAAACAGACUUCUACCGAUAUCCAGAUUAGAAGAAAAACAAAAUCUUUCCAUCUUGCAUCUUCUUAUCCAAAACAAAAUACCAGCCAUGGACUCUUCACAGAACAACCUUUGACAACUUAACAAUAAGAGAACCAAGAUACUCGACGCAUUAACAUAGAAAAAACCAUAGCAGGCAAAAGGAAGCCCAUCAACAGAAGCCCCUAGACUUGCAACAUCAAAAUCUGAAACCAAGAAGUUUCACAAAAGACAAAGAUCUGACCAGCUGGAAUUGCUUCUGUAUAGCUAGAUGAUUCUUCUCCUUUCUAGAAAUAGAGUAAUCUGGGAAACAAUCCAGUUUCCUUAGCAUCCGUAACCAGAAUUUAAAGAAAAAAAAAGGCCCAAAUAUCAAGCAGAUUAGAGCCAAGCGACCCAUUCAGAGUUUCUAAACACCCCCUCUUUUUUGCCAUGUGAUCUGCCAUAUGAUUACUCUCAUGAAGAGAAUGAGUGAAUGUGAGUGAACCAAAACAUGAAGCUACUCUCUGAAUAGAGGAGAAAAGAUUAUGAUGCAACCAAGGUCUAUUAUGAGGGUUAUUCAUCCAGCUAAUGACAUUGGUCGAGUCAGAUUCAGCAAUAAUUUGUUUAUGAUGCAGAUGACAGUUAGAAGCUGAUAAUUCAAUAGCUUUGACAACCGCUUUUAGUUCAGCUACAUUAGAGUCUAAAAUCCCAACUGGCAAGGAGAAUAUACCAAGAAGAAUCCCAUGAUGAUUUCGCAAGACUCUGCCUAUACCUGAGGAUCCCGGCUUCCCAAGAGAGGAACCAUCCACAUUCCAUUUGAAGCAAUUAGUCAUAGGGGGAGACCACACAACAACUGCUCUAUGAUUUGAAGAAUUAGUCCAUCGAACUAGCCCUUCUAUUGACCUUAUUAAUUCUGAAGUGGAAUAAGAGAAAUCAGGCUCUAUAGCCUUUAUCCAAAAGCAGAGACGAGUAAUAAUAAGGAUAAACAAAGUAUCAUAAUUCGGGGUUGUUUGCUUGAAUAUUGCAUCAUUACAAAGAAGCCAAAGAGACCAUGUCAUUGAAAAGAACAACAUCAACCAAGCUUUUUUUUGAAAUUUUCCAUAAACCAAGGAAUCCCACUGAGAGAAAAGAGCCGCCAAGUCUUUUGGGCAACACCACGCUAAGCCCCACCAAUUGAUAAUUUUAAACCAAACUAUCCAAUUUUUAUGACAAUGCAGCAAUAUAUGAUCCACCGAUUCUUCCUCAACAAAGCAAAUUGGACAAGCAGCAACUGAGAUGUUCAAAAUUCCUUUUCUGACCAGCAUACUACGAGUAUUAAUUUUUUUUAAUUAUAGCCAUUCAGCAAACAUUCGUUCUUGUUUGGUAAUGAAAUGAAAGAGAGUUCCACCACUGUUGGUCGUGCGAGGCCUCGCCUUUAUGUUACAUAUUUAUGCUGUUCCUCACCUACUUCCUAACAAUGGGCUGAUCUCUCCCCCCACCUCUUCACUGAGUCUGCUUCUUGAUGAACAGACAGUAACAUCGUCUUCUUUUUUCCAUGAAUGUGCUGCAAUUUGUAUUAUCAUCUCUUAUUACUCUUUCUGAUGCGGCCAAGCCUGAUUAGAUUAGGAAUCAGAGAAGAAGAUGAUGGAAAAAUCACAAAAAAAUUUCAAAAACAAGAAGCCUGCUCGUGCUGUUGUUUCUCGAUAAUUUAUUCUGCCAAAAUCUUCUCCAGGAAAAAUAAAAGGAUAAUAAUAGCUUAAACUGUAGCUGUCCGAACGUAAAAGGAAAAAAGGGAUCUUGGUAGGAAAAUAAAAUCAAAAGUCCAAAAUUAAAGGCUAAAACAAUAAAAUUGAUUAAAACAAUAUUUUUAUAGGCUUAAUUUGAAGGAGCCAAUUAAAUUUACUAUCAAAUCUAAGACCUAUUAAUUUUUUCAAGUUGACUUUGAGUAACUUAUUAAAUCUAACACCUAAAAUUUGCUCUAGAUUAAUUCUUGAAUCGGUUUAAAAACUAUAUAUCUAGUAAUGAUCACACGAGGAUGUUAAGAAAUAUUAAACCUAGAUUCUAAAUUUUACCAUGCACUAAAAGCAUCUCUUGAAAUUCAAUCGCUAAACCAUAAGAGAUGAUCUAAAAUUUAGGAAAGCUUUGCCACUACCCAAUUUAACCCAAACCUAUAGCUCAAGAUUAUAGUUUUUAUAAUCCAUUAAGGCUAUGUUUAUUUACUUGUAGUUUUUGUAUUUUCGGUGCAAAAAACAUAAUAAGAUAUUUGAUAACACACCAAACUAUGUUUUUUUUUUUUUUUAUUGUGGGGCUUACUAAAAAAUUAAGUUUGAAACGCAGUUUUUGAGAAACAAUUUUUACAUGUUUUUAUAACUGAGUUUCGUAAAAGAGUUUCGUAAAACUCUGUUUGUUUUUGCGUUUCAAAAGCACUUUUGAAAAAAAUUAUUUUUUUUUUACUUCAAAUUCAUUUUUUUUUGUUUUUAUAUCAUUUUGAUGCGCUGAUAUCAAAAAUAAUUUUUAAAAAAUAAAAACUUAUUAUGAUACAUUUCCAAAUAAAAAACACUUUGAAAAAUAACUGCAAUCACACAACUACCAAAUAUUUUAUACAUAUUUUUUAUUGUAUAUAAACCUCAACCAUAAUUUUUACUAAAUACAUAUCUAAAUAUAACUAAUUAACCACAUAUAACAAUACUUUUUUAAAAUUUAUUUUUAAAAAAUUAUAAUUAUGAAAAUUAUCUAAAAAACAAACGGCACUCUCUAAGUUGUCCUCUGAACAAGGUUUUAGAAAGCAAUCAAAGUAGAUAAACGACAAGACAAAAGAAUCACUUUUGAGUUGGCAAGGUCCAACCUUCAGACAAACAAAGGACCCGACAUCACUAGGUGUGCUGGGUUGUGUUGGACCCUAAACAGUGAAAAAGAACAAACGUUCUUGGCAGUUAGCAAAUUGUUGUUCAAAUAAAAUAAAUAAUCACAACAAAAAAGCAAACAUGUCUUCCUUUAUUUUUGCAAGAAUCAAGUUGACUCUCAACAUCCAGAAAAUUGUUGGGUUUGGAAUUUGUGUUGCAAUGGUUAUUCCACGCACUUGCAUCUCCAUGUUUGCAGGCUGGGGAUAAGGACCUCUCCCUCCACUGUAGCUUCGCCAGUGACCACACAGUCUACCCCCAUUCUGGGGUUCAAGCUAUGGUUAUUCAUCAUUAAUAACAUUAUAAAAAAGAUUAAGUUGUUACAUGAAAUUAAUUAUUUAAUAAAAAAAAUAAGUUGUUAAUGAAAUUUAACUGUUCUUCCUUCAAAGCCGAUCCAUUCAAUUCUCAACGUGAUUCGUUCUGAAGUAACUACUAUAACCUUAUCUUUAGAGUGUGAUUCCAAAGCUGCAGUAGAAAAGGAACCUAUGACCUGAUGAUUCAUAUCCAUUAUGGAAUAACUAUUACCUUAUCUUUAGAGUGUGAUUCCAAAGCCUAACUAUGAAGGUGAAAAUAAAAAAAUCAGAAGUUCAUGUUUUAGUUCAUGACUCUAGGGACUUUGAUUUGGAGUGAUUCUCAAAAAAUAAUUUGAAGGUGAAAAUACAAGCCUCUCAAUUAUGCAUUUGGAACAUUAAAUUUGAGAAUCAAUAGCAAUACAAAGUUAACUAGUUGCUGAAACAGCAAUAAAAUUUUUAAUAAUAGUUUGUCCAUUAUUAUAUAUAUAUAAAGGGCAUCAAAUUUAAACAAUUCUAGUCUCAUGAAAGUAACUUUUAAUUCCAACCUUCAUUUGCAAAUCUUAAUUAAAAAAGAAGGAAUACAGUAUAUUAUGCUUUCAAAAACUACACAAGCCACUCAAUUAUUUUAGCUUUGGAGGCAACGUAAAGAAAACAUCAAAGCUAUUAGCCAGACAUGGGAAACUAGGAAGGAGAAUUUGCUUAGAACUUUGAUAAUAGAACUGACGCAUGCUGACCAAAUUUUGUUCUUAGCCAACCUAACUGGCAACCAAAACCAAACACUUUACAGCAAAGUAGCUUAUUAUACAAAGAUAACACUUGACAACAAAAACUUUUGAUUUGAUAGCAACCCCACAUUUCAAAAAUGGGACUAAGCUAUUCUUUUUACUGUUUAACAGUUUUGAACACAAAUGAACCCGUGCAGCCAACCUUAACCAGUUCAGUUUGUGGCUUAGUGGAGUCAAAUGAUACUGUAGAAUAGUACAGCUGCAUAGUGGAGUAUACACUGCAUGAUAUAAUCUCGAGGAAGGUAGCAUAGUGACACCACAAUUUUGCAGCCAUUUGAUACAUGACAAAAAAAAAUUGAAAAAGAAGGUAGAGGCAGGAAAACUAUUUCCAAAUUCCAGUUCACCGACUCAUAGGGAAUCACCAUUCAUCAUUGUAUGACCACUUCAUCUAAACUCCCAUAGAUGCAAACUUUCCUUAAGAGGAUAUCAAAAUAUUCCUACACAUUAAGCACUCUCCGAUCACCCAUCUCGUUAUGCUAACUUGCACCUGUAUAGCAAAGAUUUUCACAGAUAUUCCUUUGCCUAUUCUCAUAAUUCCUUUCCCAAAUAUUGCAGAAAAUUGAACAAGUUAGUGAAUACUCAGCAUAAUCAAACAAGAACCAUUAAAAGGUAAGAGUCGUUAUUUAAACUACACAUCUGAUAUUAUGUAGAAAGAAUAUUUUGAAAUUAAUACAAAAGAAGUAAAGCAUCAUCAAAAAGAGUCCACAAGAUGAAUAACCUGAAAGAGCCAUAACAUCAAGGAUUCUUUGAGCUAGUAACAAUUCCAUUAAAACUACGACUAAAAGAAUUUAAAUAGAUGUUUACAAUAACCAAUUUCAUCACUCAACUUGCAAUAACUCCACAUUGUUAGAAUCUAAACAAACACAAACAUGCAUGAUUUAAAAAAAAAAAAAAACUCAUGCAAAUUGAGUUGGGGAUUAAGAAUAAUUACUUGUUGACAAGGGAUGCCUAGUUUUUUGAGCUUCAAAGUCCGAGUAACAAGAAGUUUGUGAAAGUCACCAAUUUCAGAUUCAAGCUUGGUUACAUGGGCUUCAACUCCUUUCCCUAUUCCAUUUAGAAACUCUGGAAUUCCAACUUUCACUGCAACAAAAAUAACAAAAAAGUAACAACAUUCUUCAAGCUCAGCCUCUUAUUAAUUGCAAAGAUUAAAAUCAAAGAAAAAGAAACUUACAACAGAAAAUCUAUAAGAACAUCGUUGUUCCAACAAUGAAAAACAAUGCAUCCACCAAAGAUUCAAUCUUUCAAAACUCAAAUCCAUUUUAAUCUCUCACAGAAAAUCACACAAAAAGAAAUAUCCUUUUCCAGUUACUAUUUACAUGAAAAUCAAAUUUUCUUCAUUUUACACAUGCAAAAAAUGAAAACUUUAUGAGCAGCAAAAGGGAGACAUGAAAAUUAAAGCAAAACCCACCAAUCUAUUCCCAUUUUCAAUCCAAGCAACUAAAAUCGAUUAAGAAAUUAAUUCAAGAACAUGAACUUAGUUAACGAUUACACAAAAAGAAAGAGCUCAAACGAAAAUGUUACCGAGGUAAGGAGAGGAGGAUUUGGAGAAGAAUCUAGAGAGCCCAGGUGUAGAAAUCGCUCGUUGUGGUGGGAUUGAAAAGGCCCUUUUAGUGUUUGUGAAUAUUUGCCUCCAUGUCAUUGCCAUCUCCGUAAAGCUGCUGCCUGCUACGGGGUUUUGGGGUUUUAGCAGAGCGGCCACGUUGUCCAGUGUUUUGAUGUGUUGUAAGUUUAGAAACGACUGGUCAUUGAGACAUUAGGAGGUCAUAGACGGUAUGUCAUUUAUGAUAACAAUAUGUGUCAAAUUAUAUUAUAGUCCCCAUGAAGUUUCUAAUAUUAUAAAUUAGUCCUUUUAGUUUCGAAGAAUCUAGAUAACCCAUUUGUAGAGAUUGCCUGUUGUGUUGGAACUGAAAUUAUUCUUUUUGUGAUUAUAUGCAUUCAUGCCAAGUUUUUUUACUAAAAUUAAAAGAUUAAAUAAUAUUUUUUUCUAAAAUAAAAUUGUUAGUUAAGUGUUAUCAGGAUUUAUCCAACUUGCUAACUUCUAAUAAAACUCUACUACUCAAUAUUAAUCCACAACUCUCUUAUAAAUUAUCUUCAUCAAUCAAUCCUUUGCUCUUAUCAAAAUCUUGCUCUCUUUAAUCCCUAAACAAGCUAGGUUUCUUUCGUUGUUUGUUUCUUGAGAAAACUAUGCAGAUAUUUGUGAGAACCCUGAGACUCAAAACCAUCACCCUUGAUGUUGAAAGCUCCGAGACAGUCGAAGACUUGAAAGCAAAAAUCUAUGAGAAGGAAUUAGGCAUCCGUCCUGAGAACCAACGUCUCAUAUAUUGUGGAAAGCAAUUAGAGGAAGGAAAAACCCUGUCAGAUUACAACAUCCAGAAGAACUCCACUAUCCACCAUGUUCUUAGGCUUUGUGGCGGCGGCAAGCAGCAAGCCUUUUAUUGAUCUUUCUUCAUGAUAUGGCAGAGAAAAUUCACAAAGUGCCUCCUUCUUGAUCAGUUUGUUGCUUAUUUAUCAGAGUAAGUCAUGUAGCUUUUCGUUAGUAUUUCGAAUUCUAAGAGACAAAGACAGAUUUUUUGAAGAAGACAUGGUUUUGGAGAUUGAAUUUUCUUUCGUAAACUUUUUUAAGAUUUUAUAUAUUAAUCAGUUAAGUUUCAUGAUUUUGUUAUCUAUGAUGGUUUGCCAUUAUUGUUAUUCCAUGUUAUCAUGUUAUAAUAGAUGACAUAGUAAUUAAAUCGGUUCUAGCUUAUAACCAUGCCCAAGACUUGGGAUAUAUAUCAUUUUAUUUUUUUACAAUGUUUUUUUUUUUUUUAAAUCAAAUCCAGGUGUGUAUUAAUGACUUAGAGAAAACUCAAAAAUCAGAUCUAAAUCAUUAACUAAAUGCGUUAAUGACCUGCAUUUUAGAUUAUUAAUUAAAUGUGAAUUGAUAAUUCGUAAUUUGAAUUUACCUAUCGUAUUAAUAAUAAUAUAAUUAUGAUAUAAAGAUUCUUAACAAUAAUAGCUAUCACAUGGCCCAUAAUAUACAUUUACGAAAUUGAUUUUUUUCUUGGAUGAUUUUUAUAUUUCAAUUUCAUGUUUUUAAUGAAGAUUAUUAACAAUAAUGGCUUUAACAUAUUAAUGUAACGUUUAUAUGACACCCCCCCCCCACUAGUUUAGUUCGAUUCAAUCUAAUUGAUGGUAAUAACAAAAGAUUUAAUCCCUAGUUGCCUUUUUACCGUACUAAUUCUCUACAAAGGUUAGAAAAAUUAUAAAGUUUCUUCUUGAUUACAAGUAGCUGAAACAUUAUAAUACUUCAAGUGCAAUUCCUCGAUCAUAAUCUAGAACAACGACUAUGUAAAACAAAGUUCUUGAAAAAAAAUAUGUGGCAAGAAGUGGUGGUCUUUAUCCUGUUAAAUUACUCCAUCAUUGUCUGCCAAGAAAAUGUACUUUGUCUUUCAUGACAAGGUAUAGUGCAUUCAAAACCCAAGGCUUUGGCAAUCUGUGCUUGAACAUGAUGCUACCUCCAACUUUGAUUUCUUACCGUGCUGACAUGUUGAUGCUUUUUGCCACCUCUCAAAAGUUUUGACAGUGAAAACUUACAACAGGAUUCAUCAACAGGAAUAGAGGGUCCAUGCAUUUAAAACCGCUAGCUGUACGUAGUUGCAUAGAACAUGCUAACUUGAGUAGGUGCUGAUAUAUAUAUAUAUAUAUAUAUAUAUAUAUAUAUAUAUAUAUAUAAUUUUUUAUUAUAAUAUAAUAAUAUAUAUUAUACAUUAAAACAAAAUAAAAACAAAAAAACUCUAAAACAUUCCAAAAAUCCUUUCAAAAAAUUUAUGAUUUUCUUGUGUAUUUUUUUAUCAAUUUUAAUUAAUAUUAGUUUGUAUUUUUAUAAUAUAAAUAUAUAAUGUUUUUUUUUGGACCGGGUACAAACCAACCCAGCUAUUCAGGUUGAGCUAGAACUAAACCGUCCAAGACGGGGGGUUAAAUAUUCCCCCUGUCCCUCCUUCCUGCAUGCAGAAUGAAUUCUGCAUGCGGGCGCGGCUUGAAGCCGAGGGAAAAUAGAAGGGGAGAAGAGAAAGUUGUGGGGGGGGGGGGGGGGAACCUGGUCGUAGCUAGCUGUCACGGUGAUGGUCAUGCCGUGGAAUAUGCCGAGCGGCUGGUGGUAGUUGCGGCGGAGCUGGCAGCGACAGGUGGUGGUUGUUGCCUUUCUCCUCCACUGUGCAAAGACACAGGGAUCUCUUUUUUUUCUUUCCCUCUUCUGCUUUUAUUUCUAUUAUUUCCACCCCCUCGUCUCUUUUCUAUUUCUUCCCUCCUGGUUCUUUUUUUUUCUUUCCUCUUCUCUUCCCCUCCUCUGUUCUCCCAUGUUUUUCUUCCAACUCUCAAAAUUCCCCCCUCCUGUUUUUUCGUCUCUGCCUCUGUCUCAUUUACCUCCCCAAAACCAUUCCUCCUCUAAAACUUCCCCCAGCUUCUGUUAUUUAUAAGUGCAGGGGAGAGGUAGCCACCCUAUCCUGUACAAGCGCAAGGUAAGGUGGCAUGGGGUGGGUUUUGUUUUGUUUUUUUUCCAAACAGUAUAUGAAACGGUGAUGAUGCGGCCAAAAUGAGCCAUUUUAUUUUAAAAAAUAACGCCAAAAUAUAUCAAUUAUAAAUCGAUCCUCAAUUUUUGAUUUGUUUAACUAAGUUUUCAAUUUCAAUUUUUAUUUUAAAAAUUAAUUCAAUUAUAUCCCUGUCAAAUUCUAAUUUCAUCCAUAAUGUUGGCCAAUGUUUUCAUUUUAGUCCUUGGUCAAAGAUUUAUGCAAUUUGACCCUCAAUUGAUCAACAAACUUUCAAUUUCUUCAAUUUAGCAUCUAAUUCGGACAAUUUCAAUUCCUCUAUUUAUGUGUCUUUUCUAGUUUGGUUCUUGGUUUUGGAUUUCUUCAAUUAAGUUCAUAAUUGGCCAUCAAACUUUAAUAUUUAUGCAAUUAAGCCCUUGAUUUGACCAAUUCAACUCUUGAAAAUUAUAUUUUGACCUCUGAACUUUAAUCUCUUCAAAUUAAAGCUCAAAUUCACUUAAAAAUUAAUUUUUCUUGCAAUCAAACCCUUUAUAAGUUCAAUUACACUUUCAGUUAAAUUUGCAAGUGCACAAAUCGUAACAAGUAAUAAAGUGAUGAGUAGAGUAUCGUCCCACGAGGAUUUGUAAAAAUUACUACUAAUUACCAAAGUCUUUUAAAUUAUGAUCUAUUUGAGGAAUCGAAUAAGAUAGUUUAUGAAACAAAAAUUAAUGAUUAAAAACAAACAACCAAUUGAUUAAAUAUUAAUGAAUUCAAUUGUACUGGUUCUAGGAUUUCUGACUUACCGUAACUAUGCCUACAUGAACUUUCUUGAUUAAAUUAAUUACUCCUAAUGUUGAUAAUCAGGUUUUCCUUAUGUAAAUAUUAAUCUCUCUCGAGCAUCAAUAAAUUAUUUCGACAAACAAAUUUCAUAUACUUUACAAAAUUUCUGAACUUGUCGAAAUUUAUUAAGUACUGUAAAACCUGUAACGAUUACAAAAGUUCUUAGGAUAUCUCUAUCCUAUAGAUUUCUUACGGUAUUUCAAACAAUAGCUAAAACAAUUAUCACUUCUCAGUUUCAAAUUGAAUUCUAAAUCAUGCAGAUGUUGGCCAAACACACGCAAGCAUUACACAUAGAAUGAAAUACUCAACAUCUUAAUGUAAUAAUUCAAUCGAAGAAAUUGUUCACAUAAUCAUAGUAAGGUUACAUCAAAAAUCCCAGAAUAAAAGUCUACUCCAUAGUUAAAUUAAAGAGAAACAAACUUGAUACGAUGAACAUCAAUCAAGAGCAGAGAAUUUCCGUCGAAAAGAUAGGUGUCCUCCCGGUUUUUAAUAGUUUUGCCUCUGCCCCUCUUUUGUUCCCCUUGGUGCCGCCUCCUCUCUUUUUCUUUUCUAUGUUGUAGGGUUUCUGUUCGUCCUCUCUCCUCCUUUUUCUUCUUUUAUAUUGUGGCUUUUCUACCCCUGCAGUAAUGAGGAAAGUUUCCUUUUCUGCAUUAAAUUCCUUCCUACUCAGACAUUGCGGGCCCGAUUUGAGGUAGAAAACGUGCGAAUUCAAAGAUCUCUAUUUCUGGAGAAAUUGUAGAGAAUCAAAUUUUCUUUCCAACGAAACUGAUCUUGCAAUUUUUGGACAUCUGAGGGUUGAGAUAAGGGCCAUAAACCGAAACAGUCUUUGCAGUGCAGGAAUUUCGGGCUGGUUCAAUCCUUGUUUUUCAACUCGCUUUUUGGGCUUCGAAACAACAAAACUGAGUUAUAUGCCCUUCAUAUGUUUUGUAGACCUUCAUCUCAGCUAUUUGAAAAUGGUUACGAACAUCCGAACUAAAUUGUAUAGCUUCUUUGCAGCACAUAAUGAAUCACUGUUCAGUUUCACUGCCGGCUCUGCCUGUUCAGUAACCUAAGAUCUGAAAACACAUUAAUUUCCCACGAGGUCAAUAGUUCAAAAAGAGAUUCAAAAUUCUAAUUGUCUUGUGCAACAUAUCCAAAAUAUUUAAAAAUCAAGCAUGAAUAGAAAAUAUACAUGCUAAAAAUUCCCUUAUCAAAUACCCCAAACUUGAAUGUUUGCUUGUCCUCAAGCAAAAAGGAAACCAUGAAAGCAGAGUGCUAAAAGCUCAUGAUAAGUUCAACUUUCACAUUUAAAAGGCUCCAUCAUGCAGCAUUCACUUCUUGACUUAGCUCAUAGACAAUAUUAGAUAAUGAAAAAUUAAACAUUCCUACUCUCUGUGCAGGUCGUUGUACAAACUUCCAACUCAUCCAUGUGUUUGAUGUGUUUAGCAUCCUUGAACCGUGCACAGUCAUUCCGUCAUUUUUUUUUUUGAACAAGGUAGCCAACUUUAGGAGUAAUAACACACUUUUACUUGUCUUUUGACAAGGGUGAUUUUUUUAAAUUUAUCACUUGUCUUUUGACGCGAAUACAAACAUUUGUGAUGAAUGCACCCGGUUACUUAACAGGUCAUAAACUUAAAAUGCUUUGCAUACUCAUAUUUUAAGUUGCCGUUUGACGUAAAAGUAAACAUUUGUGAUGAAUACUCCUAGUUACUAAGCAACUCAAAACAUUGGAGUAGAUACACAUCAUAUACUUAUUCAUUCACUUUCAUACUCAUUAUCACUCCUUGUUUUAAUAUUUUUCUUAGAGGUAAUAACAAGAAAGAACAACACACUUAUCUCUUAUGCAUAACUACACAAUUCACAUGACUGUGCUGGAAAAGUGUACUUCAAUAAUUCAAAAGAAAAUAGUCAUGCUUAAUCCAACUUUAUAAGAUAUCAUCCGCUCUAAGCCAAGAAAUAUCAUGGUUACAUCAUGAAGCACCUAAAAAUAUCAAAGUUGGUCUUAAAUGCAUAUCACUUUCACCCUCUGUUUUCAUGGUUCUAGUGUGCAGUGUCUUUCAUAGUCAAAGCAUGCAAUGUCUCCCCCAAACUUAAAUAUCACAUUGUCCUUAAUGGAAAAAUAAAGAAUAGAAAGGCUUACGAAUACUUCCUUUUGACUAUGUGGGUGUAAGUUUGUUGUUGCUCCUGGUUAUUUGCUUGUAUGAUCAAUUCCUGCACAAAUCAAUGAAACAAAUAAGGGUUUUUUUUUAAAAAAAAUUUCUUUUUCAUUUUUUUUCUUUUUUGGGUUGCCUCCCAAUCAGCGCUUAGUUAUAGUCAUUAGCUUUACUUUUCCAUUUAUCUAAGAUGAAGUGAGAGGGAUAUCAUCCCUUUUCCCAAUAGACUCUCCAUUCCUAUAAUGCUUCAGACGCUGCCCAUUCACUGUGAAUGUUCCCUUUUCAUCAUGGGUGACCUCUACUGCUCCAUAAGGAAAUACCUUCACAACCGUAAAUGGUCCUGACCAUCGUGAUUUGAGCUUACCAGGAAACAAGCGGAGCCGUGAAUUGAAGAGUAAUACUUGUUGACCAGGGACAAACUCCUUGCGUACAAUGUGUUUGUCAUGCCAUGCCUUGGUUCUUUCCUUGUAUAUCUUGGCAUUUUCAUAGGACUCAUUGCGAAAUUCAUCCAUCUCAUUAAGUUGCAGGAUUCUUUUCUCACCUGCAACCUGCAAAUCCAUGUUCAGUUGUUUCAUUGCCCAGUAUGCCUUAUGCUCUAAUUCAACAGGAAUAUGACAUGCUUUUCCAAAAACUAAUCGAUACGGAGACAUUCCCAAUGGUGUUUUGAAUGCUGUCCGAUAUGCCCACAAUGCAUCAUCUAGCUUUCUUGCCCAAUCUUUCCGAGAAUUACUUACUGUUUUCUCUAAGAUUUGCUUCACCUCUCUAUUUGAUACCUCUGUUUGGCCAUUUGUCUGAGGAUGAUAAGCCAAUGCUCUUUUGUGUCUGACUCCAUACUUAGAUAACAGUGCUUCAAACUGCUUGUUGCAAAAAUGAGUUCCUUCAUCACUGAUGAUGGCUCGAGGAGUACCAAAUCUGGUAAAGAUGUUCUUUCGUAGAAAAUUAAGUACCACCUUGCCAUCAUUUGUAGGCGUUGCAAUUGCCUCGAUCCACUUUGAUACAUAAUCCACUGCUAAGAGAAUGUAUUUGUUGUUAUAGGAUGAAGGAAAAGGUCCCAUGAAAUCGAUGCCCCAAACAUCAAAUAAUUCAACUUCUAGGAUAUUCUGCAGUGGCAUUUCAUUUCGUCGAGAUAUAUUCCCAGUAUGCUGACAUCUAUCACAAGCAGUAACAAAAGCAUGAGCAUCUUUAAACAUAGUGGGCCAAUAAAAACCUGACUGCAAAACUUUGGCUGUAGUGCGUUGUGUUCCAAAGUGCCCCCCAUAUUCAAGUGUGUGGCAAUGCUUCAAUAUAUUUGUCAUUUCCUCUUCUGGAACACACCUCCUGAUGACUUGAUCUGCACAAUGCCGAUAGAGUAUCGGCUCCUCCCAGAAGUAGUGUUUGACUUCAGAAAAAAAUUUCUUCUUUUGCUGGUAAGAAAAAUCUGGCGGUAUGAUCUUACCUGCAAGAAAGUUGACAUAAUCUGCAUACCAAGGAAAGAAUUUGUUAGUGGAAAUUGCUAAGAGUCUUUCAUCAGGAAAACAUUCAUUUAUAACCGUGAAUUUAGGCUCCAGCUGCUGUGUCAAUUCCAGCCUUGAAAGAUGAUCUGCCACCACGUUCUCAGUCCCCUUUUUAUCUUUAAUUUCUACAUCAAAUUCUUGCAGUAAUAGGAUCCAACGGAUGAGUCUAGGCUUGGCAUCUUUCUUAGACACUAGGUGUCUAAUUGCAGCAUGAUCAGUAUACACCAGUACUUUGUUUCCCAUCAGGUAAGGCCGAAACUUAUCAAAUGCAUAGACCACAACAAGCAACUCUUUCUCGGUUGUGGCAUAAUUGAGCUGGGCAUCGUUGAGUGUUCUGCUGGCAUAGUAUAUGGUGUGAAACACAUUAUUUUUCCGUUGCCCCAGUACUGCUCCAACUGCAUAAUCACUUGCAUCACACAUAAGCUCAAAUGGUUUCUCCCAAUCCGGUGCAAUUACAAUAGGAGCUGUCACUAACUUCUUUUUCAACAGCAUAAAGGUUGUCUUGCAUUCCUCAUCAAACUGAAACUUUGUGUCUUUUAGCAGCAGACUGCAUAGCGGUUUGGAUAUUUUAGAGAAGUCUUUGAUGAACCUCCUAUAAAAUCCCGCAUGACCAAGGAAACUCCUAACCCCUUUUACUGUAGUUGGCGGCAGAAGCUUGUCUAUUGCCUCAAUUUUAGCUCUGUCUACCUCUAUUCCUUUUUCUGAAAUCCGGUGCCCCAAUACUAUACCUUCCUUUACCAUGAAGUGACAUUUUUCCCAGUUCAAUAUCAAGUUUGUCUUUUCACAACGCUCCAAAACCAACGCCAACUUUGCAAGGCAGUCAUCAAAAGAAGUUCCAAAUACAGAAAAGUCAUCCAUGAAGAUCUCAAUGAUUUGCUCCACCAUAUCUGAAAAAAUAGCCAUCAUGCACCUCUGAAAGGUAGCUGGUGCAUUACACAACCCAAAAGGCAUUCUUCUGAAAGCAAAAGUACCAUAAGGGCAGGUGAAAGUGGUCUUCUCUGGUCCUCAGGUGCGAUGGCUAUUUGGUUGUAUCCUGAAUAGCCAUCUAGGAAACAGUAGUAUUCAUGCCCAGCUAACCUGUCCAGCAUCUGAUCAAUGAAUGGUAGGGGGAAGUGAUCUUUGCGAGUUGCCUUGUUGAGCUUUCGAUAAUCCAUGCAAAUCCUCCAUCCAGUUACCGGUCUAGUAGGUAUCAAGUUGUUGUUUGCAUCCUUUACCACUGUCAUUCCUCCUUUCUUUGGCACAACUUGAACUGGGCUCACCCAUGAGCUGUCAGAGAUUGGAUAAAUAACACCAGCAUCUAACCAUUUCAGAACUUCUUUUCGGACUACCUCUUUCAUGGUCGGGUUAAGCCUUCUCUGAUGUUCUACUGUUGGCUUGACUUCAUCUUCCAACAGAAUUUUAUGCAUGCAAAUAGAGGGACUGAUGCCUUUGAUAUCUGCUAAUACCCACCCGAGAGCUGCCUUAUGUUUUCUCAACACCCUCAACAAUUUUUCUUCCUCUGUUUUGGUCAGCUUUGCAGAGAUUAUCACAGGAUAGGUGGAAGCUUCUCCAAGAUAUGCAUACCGAAGGUGUUCUGGCAGAGGUUGCAAUUCCAGAACCGGUGCUUGUUCACUGGUUGAUUUUAUUUUUGGUGCUGGUUGUCCCAAAUCUUCAAAGUAUCUUUUGUGGUUAGGUUCAAAAGAGUCCAUCCAACAUGAAUAUUCUGCUAUUUCAGCAUCCUCUUCCAGUACAUUAUUUACCAAACAUGCUUCCAACGGGUCGGUUGGAAGCUUAACUUUGUUGUUAAUUAAGGAGUCCACCACUUGAAUGCUGAAGCAACUCUCCCCUAUAUCUGGUUGUUUGAUGGCUUUGAACACAUUGAAAAUCACCUCCUCUUCAUUCACCCUUAACCGCAGCUCCCCUUUCUUCACAUCAAUUAACGCACCUCUAGUGGCCAAGAAUGGCCGGCCAAGCAAGAUAGGAAUCUCAUUAUCCUUCUCCAUAUCCAGUAUGAUAAAGUAUGCUAGAAAGAUGAACUUGCCCACUUUCACCAGUACAUCUUCAAUUAUUCCCCUUGGAUGCUUCAAUGACCUGUCAGCUAGCUGUAGUGUUACUGUGGUUGGCCUUGUUUCACCUAAACCAAGCUUCUUAAAAAUAGAUAAAGGCAUGAGAUUAAUACUUGCACCUAAAUCACAUAAAGCUUUUUCAAAUAUAGAAUUUCCAAUGGAACAUGGUAUAGUAAAACUCCCUGGAUCCUUAAGUUUAGGAGGCAGUUUCUUCUGCAAAAUAGCACUGCAUUCCUCAGUAAGAGCGACAGUCUCAUAUUCCUCUAGCUUUCUUUUGUUUGAGAGGAUGUCCUUCAGAAAUUUCACAUAGCUUGGCAUUUGUUCAAGAGCAUCUGCAAAAGGAAUGUUAAUCUGCAAUUUUUUAAACACAUCAAGAAAUUUAGAAAAUUGCUUAUCAAGUUUAUUCUUCUUGAGACGUUGUGGAAAUGGAAUUCUAUGCAUUAUUUCUUGCAUUGGUUCUGGCAGAGGAUCAGAUUUUUUCAUAUUCUGAAUUGGUUCGGCCAUUUGCUCCUCUACUUCUUUUUUUGCACUCUUGUUUCCAGCAGUCUGCUCCACUUCUUUUCCACUUCUUAAAGUUAUGGCCUUGCAUUGCUCCUUAGGAUUAAUUUCAGUUGUGCUUGGUAGAUUUCCUUGUUGUCUACCCGUGAGCAUGUUGGCUAACUGACCAACCUGAACCUCCAAAUUUCGAAUUGAGGCUGCUUGGUUCUGCAGAUUGGUAUUUGUUUCAGUCAUGAAUCUGCUGGUGUUGUUUGCUAAUUGUGUCAUAGCUUCUUCAAGUUUUGAUUUCUCUUUCAUGUGCUCACUUGAAGAUGGCAUGGCUGGAUUCUUCAUGACAGUUUGAUUGUUCCACGAGAAAUUAGGAUGAUUUCUCCAACCGGGAUUAUAUGUUGCACUGUAGGGGUUGUUCUGCCGGCUGUAUUUGACACAAAAUGAGCAUGCUCUGCUUGAGAGAAUGGGUUCCCAACCUGACACUCUUCACUGUGUGAUUUCCAUGCAAAAAUCACACGUUGUAUGGAUGGCAUUUGCUGACAGUUGAGUGGUUUUCAGUUGCUGAGUUAGUGAAUGGACUUGAGCUGUUAAUGUCGUGAUUGCAUCAAUUUCGUGCACCCCAACAGUCUUUUCUGUAUGCUUCUUUCAUUUGGCCAUUGGUAAUUGUUCAUAGCCAUUUCUUCCAAUAAGUUGUAAGCAUCAUCCUGUGACUUACUCAUAAAAGCUCCUCCUGAAGCUGCAUCAAUUAGUGUUCUUGUGGAGGCAUUCAAUCCAUUGUAAAAAUUUGCACCUGCAUCCACUUCGGUAGUCCAUGGUGGGGGCAUCGCCUGAGCAAAUCCUUGUAUCUCUCCCAUGCCUCAUACAAUGGUUCACUCUCAAGUUGGGCGAAGUUAGCUAUCUCAAUGCAUUUUUGCUGUCUUGGCUGGUGGAAAAAAUUUAGCAAGGAAUUUCUGAGCUAAAUCUUCCCAGCUGAUAACUGAAUCUGCAGGCAUGGAGUUUAACCAGUUCUUCGCUCUAUCUCGCAAGAAAAUGGAAACAAUCUGAGGCGAAUGGCAUCAUCAGUAACGCCAUUAUGCUUAAAUGUGUCGCAAAUUUCCAAGAAACUUGCAAUAUGGGCGUUAGGAUCAUCACUUGGCAACCCAUAAAACUGAACUGAGGUCUGAAUCAUCUGCAGUAUUGCUGGUUUGAUCUCAAAAUUAUUGGCCUCAAUCCUUGGUUUCCUGAUAACAGAACGGAUUCCUGUCACCUGUGGGAGAGCAAAAUCUCUCAAUGCCCGUGUAUCUUGCUCAGGAUUUUCAUUGUCUGCCAUGAUGCUGAACUGUUUGAGUCUCUCGUGUUUUCUUUCUUAAUCCCCUUGCAGUUCUCUCAAUCUCAGGAUUAUAAGGUAGCAACGGCUGUUUUUGUUGCUUCUCAUGCACUAGACACACACCUAAAGAGCUGAAGACAAAAGGCAAUCAAAUUAGAUCAAAUUUAAUUUAUAUUGAUAUUAUUAGUAAUUUUAUCUAAAAUCCCCGGCAACGGCGCCAAAAACUUGUUGGUUAAUUUGCAAGUGCACAAAUCGUAACAAGUAAUAAAGUGAUGAGUAGAGUAUCGUCCCACGAGGAUUUGUAAAAAUUACUACUAAUUACCAAAGUCUUUUAAAUUAUGAUCUAUUUGAGGAAUCGAAUAAGAUAGUUUAUGAAACAAAAAUUAAUGAUUAAAACAAACAACCAAUUGAUUAAAUAUUAAUGAAUUCAAUUGUACUGGUUCUAGGAUUUCUGACUUACCGUAACUAUGCCUAUGUGAACUUUCUCGAUUAAAUUAAUUACUCCUAAUGUUGAUAAUCAGGUUUUCUUAUGUAAAUAUUAAUCUCUCUCGAGCAUCAAUAAAUUAUUUCGACAAACAAAUUUCAUAUACUCUACGAAAGUUCUGAACUUGUCGAAAUUUAUUAAGUACUGUAAAACCUGUAACGAUUACAAAAGUUCUUAGGAUAUCUCUAUCCUAUAGAUUUCUUAACGGUAUUUCAAACAAUAGCUAAAACAAUUAUCACUUCUCAGUUUCAAAUUGAAUUCUAAAUCAUGCAGAUGUUGGCCAAACACACGCAAGCAUUACACAUAGAAUGAAAUACUCAACAUCUUAAUGUAAUAAUUCAAUCGAAGAAAUUGUUCACAUAAUCAUAGUAAGGUUACAUCAAAAAUCCCAGAAUAAAAGUCUACUCCAUAGUUAAAUUAAAGAGAAACAAACUUGAUACGAUGAACAUCACUCAAAAGCAGAGAAUUUCCGUCGAAAAGAUAGGUGUCCUCCGGUUUUUCAAUAGUUUUGCCUCUGCCCCUCUUUUGUUCCCUUGGUGCCGCCUCUCCUCUUUUUCUUUUCUAUGUUGUAGGGUUUCUGUUCGUCCUCUCUCCCCUUUUUCUUCUUUUAUAUUGUGGCUUUUCUACCCCUGCAGUAAUGAGGAAAGUUUCCUUUCUGCAUUAAAUUCCUUCCUACUCAGACAUUGCGGGCCCGAUUUGAGGUAGAAAACGUGCGAAUUAAAGAUCUCUAUUUCUGGAGAAAUUGUAGAGAAUCAAAUUUUCUUUCCAACAAAACUGAUCUUGCAAUUUUUGGACGUCUGAGUUGAGAUAAGGGCCAUAAACCGAACAGUCUUUGCAGUGCAGGAAUUUCGGGCUGGUUCAAUCCUUGUUUUUCAACUCGCUUUUUGGGCUUCGAAACAACAAAACUGAGUUAUAUGCCCUUCAUAUGUUUUGUAGACCUUCAUCUCAGCUAUUUGAAAAUGGUUACGAACAUCCGAAACUAAAUUGUAUAGUUUCUUUGCAGCACAUAAUGAAUCACUGUUCAGUUUCACUGCCCGGCUCUGCCUGUUCAGUAACCUAAGAUCUGAAAACACAUUAAUUUCCCACGAGGUCAAUAGUUCAAAAAGAGAUUCAAAAUUCUAAUUGUCUUGUGCAACACAUCCAAAAUAUUUAAAAAUCAAGCAUGAAUAGCAUAAAUUAUACAUGCUAAAAAUUCCCUUAUCAUUUUUUAUUCCACAAAAUCAAAUCAAUUGUUCAGAACACAAUAAGUAUGAAGAAAAAGCAAAGUAGUUUACACAGCAAGUUGAAGGAUUUGACUAGUGACACUGAUUGUGGAUCCAAAGUUCAAAAUAAAACAAAUCCCGAUCCAGAGUUCGAGUAAACAGAUCACCAAGUUAAUAUGUCAAUCAAUGGCAGAUCCAAUGUAUGCGUGCGUCGUAGCAUUCCGAAGGAUUCAAAUUGUAAAUGAAGGCCUACAAUUUGUAUAUUUUUCAAUAGGUAACCAAACACUAGUAUGAAUGCGUUAAGAGAGUUGUUAGAAAAUCAAAUGCUCGAACAAAUGACUUUCCAAGUCUAUGAAGAAAAAAGCAAAGUAACUUACAGAAAAAGUUGGAGAAACACCCCGUUCCACAAGCUUGAAGAAAAACAUUAACAGACUAAUGAAAAUAAUUAUGGGGCCCAAGAUCAAAUCAAUUGCUCAAACAAUAAUCAUAAUUUAUUUUAAUUUUGUUAAAUUUUUAUGUUAAAAAAUUUAUGUUGAAAAAUAAUUUUUAAUAUUAAAAAUAAACGGGGUUUGUUUUUUAUUUAACUUUAAAUAUAUCAAUUAAUCAUGUUUUAGAUAAUGUUUUCAUCAAAUAAUUCAAUAUUACAAGAUUAAGCUUAGUUAAUCAUGUAAGAAACCCAUGCAUGCUUCCAAUCUAUAUAUAUAUAUAUAUAUAUAUAUAUUAUAGGAUGAUGUUACAAGUACUGAGGGAGUAUUGUUACAGCUGUUAUGGUCGCUGUUAGUGUAGAUUAAUUAUGGUAGCUGGCAGAUGCAUGGACACGUGUUAGAAAUCAUUUCACUCCGUUAACAAAAAUUAAGGAAGUGUUAGUGCAGAUUACUUAGGGUAGGCGAUAUUGAUAUUUCAAAAGAGAUAUUCUAAAUAUUUCACAAGAAAUAAAAGAGUAUAACUAAAAUUAGAUAAUGAAAUGAAUUAAAAAAAUGAAAGAAAUUUACCUCAUAAAACAAAAAAAGAGAAAUUUACAUGGGAGUGAGAGAGGUAUGCAAUAACAUAUCAAAAUGAAAAGAAGCUUUAUGUUAAUUAAUGAAAGACAAAAAAGAAUUUUUUUUUGAGUAAAUGAGCUGUACGUAUGUAUUAUAUAUUAUAUUAAAAUAUAAUUUAACAAUAACUUUUCACUUUUUUCACUUUUUCGUGUAUCAAACUCUCAUUAACCUAUUAUAUUAAUAUUAUAAUAUUAAAAAUAUAUUUUCAAAAACUUUAAGGGGCAAUUGCUCCUUUUGUACUUACGUGGCUCCACCACUGAGUGCGGAUUAUUUAGGGUAGGCGAUAUUGAUAUUUCAAAAGAGAUAUUCUAAAUAUUUCACAAGAAAUAAAAAUGAGUAGGUGCAGUAAGAAGAAAUUAUUGAUAAUACAAAUCAUUUUCUAAUCUCUUCUGCCAUGUAUUUCAUAAGAUCAAAUCAAUUGUUCAUAUACAGCACCUGACUUCCCAAGUCUAUGAAGAAAAGCAAAGCAGUAAACAAGAAGUUGAAAUUGAUAUCCUUUAAUCCAACACCACAAACCGAGCGAUCUGUGCCGUGAAGACUCUCACAUUCAAUGAAGCCCAAGUCUCCCUUGGAUAAUUCAGCACAGAAAAUUCAAUGAUACAGAUAAUUGUCACUGUCCGAUCAAAUGCAUGAAGAGGACAAAAUUGUCUAUAAGAGACAGCUUGCUUGCUUUUGUAUUUUGUCAAGUAGGAGCGUUAAUAUGAAGAUGAGGCAAAUGUGGAUGUGGAUGCUGCUCAUGGCACUGGCCUUCGUCAACGAGCGGUGCCAUUGUUGUCUAGAGGAAGAGAGAAUUAGUCUCUUAGAGAUAAAAGCUGGGUUCAGUCAUGCACGUGCAGCUGUGUCCUAUGAUCCGCUAGAAGGUUGGGAUAAAGAGCAUUUUAAUUGCUGUAACUGGCAUAGGGUUGUGUGUGACAACACCACAAACCGAGUGAUCGAACUACAUCUUUAUAGCGUAAAUUAUGUAGUUUCUCGACUCAAUGCAUUCGAAGACUUCGAUCUCAAUGCGUCUUUGUUUCUGCCUUUCAAAGAACUGGAGAUUCUCGACUUAGGCUUCAACCAAUUAGUUGGUGGCUUAAAGAACCAAGGUUCUAUGCUUUCAGUUUUUUCUUUUAGUUAACACAUAAAGUUAAUUAUAUUUCAAGUAACUUUACAUUGAAUCUUUAUGGAUAUAGGGAUGAUUCAUAUAUAUAUAUAUAUAUAUAUAUAUAUAUAUAUAUAUAUAUAUAUAUGUCUGUCAUGUUAAUUUCUUUGCUCUAACAAUCUUCUUUCAGGUUUUCAAGUGCUUGCUUCAGGGUUGAGGAAUUUGAAGAAACUUGAUCUGACAGGCAAUAGAUUUAACGAUAGCAUUUUAUCAUCUCUCAGUGGAUUUUCAACUCUCAAAUCUCUAGAUCUAUCAAGCAAUAGGUUCACAGGAUCAAUUGGUCUCAAUGGUAAAGUUGUAAAUCAUUCCUACCUCAGAUGACAUUACCUAGUAAGGUUUAAUAAUUACAUGUGUAUUAACUCUUAAGUUGUUUGGAUGAAACCUUAAAAAGGCUUUAUAUAAUUAAUUCUUUAACGAGUGAAAUAAUUUGAAACUUACAUAUACACGCUAUUAACUUUUGUUCAAUUUUUUUUUUAAUUUUUUUUAAUAAAUGAAGGUGAAUAAUUAAUUAAUUAAAUUUUAAUAUUAUAUUAAAAUUAUUUGAAUUUAAAAACUUAAGCUAUGUCUUGUAUAUUAACUCUAACAUUAUAAGUUUAUUUAAUUAUUGUAAAUCAUUAUUAUUGAUUGUUCUCUCUAUCACAGGUUUAAGGAAUUAUUUGAAUUUAAAAACUUAAGCUAUGUCUUGUAUAUUAACUCUAACAUUAUAAGUUUAUUUAAUUAUUGUAAAUCAUUAUUAUUGAUUGUUCUCUCUAUCACAGGUUUAAGGAAUUUAGAAAUCUUGAAUCUGGUAAACACUGACUUCAAGGAAAGCAUUUUGAUAGAGUCAUUGGGAGCGUUGCCAUCCCUCAAGACCUUAUAUGCCGGUGAUAGUAAUUUUAAACACUUUGGGAAAGGUUAGUGACAGUUUAAUUUGGUGCCUAAAACAAUAUGAUAUUUAUAAUUUAUUGAUGGAUUUAUCUGAUCUGUACCACAGGGUUGUGGAAUUCGUCUAGCCUUGAAAAAGUGUUCCUCAAUUAUUCUUCUCUCCCAGCAAACUUUUUUAGGAACAUUGGACCCUUGUCUACUCUUAAAGUACUAUCUUUGACCGGAGUUGACUUCAAUAGCACCCUAUUUGAUCAAGGUAAUUCUACAAAUGAACAAUUAUAAGAGUAUUGAAAUCCAAAUAACAGUUGUUCACUAGAAGUUUAUAGAAAAGUAUAAAAUCUAGAGUUUCUCAAUCUCUAAAUUUUCUCAGUUUUAAAUUUAGGGUAGUUGGCAGAUGCAUGAACACGUGUUAGAAGUUGUUAAGAGAUGGUUAGAGUUAGUUAACAAUAUAAUAAAUCGUGUAAUAUAUGUGGGGAAGUAUAUAUAUAAUGGUAGGAGGUUUACGCACGCAAGAAAUAAUAGAAUCAUUCCUCUGUUUUUCCUUCUGCUUAACAGAUGAUUAUAUUACAAUACACAAAAUGGAUACUUCCACUUUAUAUGUGAUACGUUAGAAUUCAUGAAUAUUUGGUUAUUAAAAUAUUAAUAUAAUGUCAAAAAAUUAACACACAAUUUAUAUAUUGAUAUAUGUGAUACUUCUUAAUUUCUUUGCUUUCGACAAAUUUCUUUCAGGUUUUCAAGUGCUAGCUUCAAGGUUGAGGAAUUUGGAGGAACUUGAUCUAAGUUACAAUCAAUUUAACGACAGUAUUUUAUCAUCUCUCAGUGUAUUUUCAACUCUCAAAUCUCUAGAUCUAUCAAGCAAUAGGUUCACAGGAUCAACUGGUCUUAAUGGUAAAGUUGUAAUCAUUCCUCCCUCGGAUGGCAUUCCUUAGUGAGGCUUAAUUUAUUCUUUAGUGAAUUUGUCUAAUAAAUAGAUGUGUAUUAACCAUUAACUUUUGUUCAAUUUUUAAAAUUUUAUUAAAGGAUCAACUAGUUAGAAUUUAUAUGUGAUAUGUUAGAAUUCAUGAAUAUUUGGUUAUUAAAAUAUUGAUAUAAUGUCAAAAAAUUAACACACAAUUUAUAUAUUGAUAUAUGUGAUACUUCUUAAUUUCUUUGCUUUCGAUAAAUUUCUUUCAGGUUUUCAAGUGCUAGCUUCAGGGUUGAGGAAUUUGGAGGAACUUGAUCUAAGUUACAAUCAAUUUAACGAUAGUAUUUUAUCAUCUCUCAGUGUAUUUUCAACUCUCAAAUCUCUAGAUCUAUCAGGCAAUAGGUUCACAGGAUCAACUGGUCUUAAUGGUAAAGUUGUAAAUCAUUCCUCCCUCGGAUGACAUUCCUUAGUGAGACUUAAUUUAUUCUUUAGUGAAUUUGUCUAAUAAAUAGAUGUGUAUUAACCAUUAACUUUUGUUCAAUUUUUAAAAUUUUAUUAAAGGAUCAACUAGUUAGAAUUUAUAUGUGAUAUGUUAGAAUUCAUGAAUAUUUGGUUAUUAAAAUAUUGAUAUAAUAUCAAAAAAUUAACACAUAAAUUUAUAUUUCAUUGAAUAUAUAUAUGUUAAUUUCUUUGCUUCCAACAAUUUUCUUUCAGGUUUUCAAGUGCUAGCUUCAGGGUUGAGGAAUUUGGAGAAACUUGGUCUGAAUUAUAAUAAAGAUUUGAACGACGGAAUUUUUUCAUCUCUCAGUGGUUUUUCAUCUCUCAAAUCUCUAGAUCUAUCAGGCAAUAGGUUCACAGGAUCAACUGGUCUCAAUGGUAAAGUUGUAAAUCAUUCCUACCUCAGAUGACAUUCCCUAGUAAGAUUUAAUAAUUACAUGUGUAUUAACCCUUAAGUUGUUUGGAUGAAACCUUAAAAAGGCUUUAUAUAAUUAAUUUUUUAACGAGUGAAAUAAUUUGAAACUUACAUAUACACGCUAUUAACUUUUUUUCAAUUUUUUAAUUUUUUUUUUAAGUAAAUGAAGGUGAACAUUUAAUUAAUAAAAUUUUAAUAUUAUAUUAAAAAUUAUUUUAAUUUAAAAAAUUAAGCUAUGUCUUGUAUAUUAACUCUAACAUUAUAAAUUAUUUAAUUAUUGUAAAUCAUUAUUAUUGAUUGUUCUCUCUAUCACAGGUUUAAGGAAUUUAGAAAUCUUGAAUCUGGCAUACACUGACUUCAACGAAAGCAUUUUGUUGGGAGCGUUGCCAUCCCUCAAGACCUUAUAUGCCAGUGGUAGUAAAUUUAAACACUUUGGGAAAGGUCAGUGAUAGUUUAAUUUGGUGCCUAAAACAAUAUGAUAUUUAUAAUAUAUUGAUGGAUUUAUUUGAUCUAUGCCACAGGGUUGUGGAAUUCGACUAGCCUUGAAGAAGUGUUACUCGAUGAUUCUUCUCUCCCAUCAAGCUUUCUUCAAAACAUUGGACCCUUGUCUACUCUUACAGUCUUAUCAUUGAUCGGAGUUGACUUUAAUAGCACCCUACCUGCGGAAGGUAAUUCAUUAGAUAUUUUUGUUAUAUCUAUGUUUUAUUAAACUAGAAAUUUACUUCUAAUGUUACGUAUAAAAAAGGACAAAAUCUAGAGUUUCUCAAUCUCUAAAAUUUCUCAGUCUUAAAUUUAGAGUAGCUGGCAGAUGCAUGGACACGUGUUAGAAGUUGUUAAGAGUCGGGUAGAGUUAGUUAACAAUAUAAUAAAUCAUGUAAUGCAUGUGAGGAAGAGUGUAUAUAAUGGUAGGAGGAUUAAGCACGCAAGAAAUAACAGAAUCAUUCCUCUGUUUUCCUUCUGCUUAAUAGAUGAUUAUAUUACAAUACACAAAAUAGAUACUUCCACUCUAUCCUUCUUGACCAAAAAUGCAUAAAAACCAUCCCUCAAGACACAAAAUGGAUACUAAUUUAAGUCAAUAUUGAAAGGAAUGGAUAAUGUGUACCACCACUAUUUUCAUCGUACCUUUUCUUCUUUCUUUUUCACAUGGACUUUCUUCAAUUCGAGAUAUUAUUGAUAUAUUACAUAAUUGAUAUAUUACAUAUGGAUAUAUUCUACAGGCUGGUGUGAGCUGAAGAAUCUUGAACAACUAUUUCUCUUACAAAACAAUCUAAAGGGCGUACUCCCUCCUUGUUUUGGAAAUCUAUCAUUUCUACAAUUCUUGGAUUUAUCUGACAAUCAAUUGGAGGGAAAUAUUGCCUCUAGUCACCUUUCCCAUCUUACGCAACUUGAAUACUUCUCAGUUUCAAAUAACUACUUUCAAGUUCCAAUAACAUUUGGUUCAUUUAUGAACCUCUCCAACCUCAAGUUCAUUGCAUGCGAUAACAAUGAGCUAAUACCUGUACCCAGUUUUCAGCCUUCAGCUCCCAAGUUCCAGCUUCUUUACUUCAGUGCUUCAAACUGUACUUCAAAACCACUCAAGGCUGGAUUUCCAAACUUCCUGCAUAGCCAACAUGAUUUGGUGUUUGUUGAUCUAUCCCACAACAAAUUCGUUGGAGAACCUUUCCCAUCUUGGCUGUUUGAGAAUAAUAGAAAGUUAAAUCGACUAUAUUUGAGAGACACCUCAUCUAUAGGUCCUUUGCAGCUGCCACAACAUCCAACACCCAACCUUCAGACAGUAGAUAUGUCUGGCAACAACAUACAUGGUCAAGUUGCAAGGAACAUAUGUUUGAUUUUUCCACGUUUGAAGAACUUCAUGAUGGCUAACAACAGCCUCACAGGUUGCAUUCCUCCUUGUUUUGGGAAUAUGAGCUCUCUCAAAUACUUGGAUCUUUCCAACAAUCAGAUGUCUUGUGAACUGCUUGAGCAUAAUUUUCCAACAGUAGGCUCCUCGUUGUCGUUUUUGAAGCUGUCCAACAACAACUUCAGUGGGCGAUUACCACCAUCUGUGUUCAACAUGACU
rnacentral:lncRNA from 1 species